ACAAGCCGAUCUAGCAGAUCACAUAACAUAUCAUCAUCCUAACCAGGAUACCGACCUAACCGGUCACUAGCAUAGCAUCAUCCUACAUAACAGGAUACCGACCUUAACCAGGUCUCUAACAUAUACCAUCCUAGCUACCAGGAUGCAAACAUAUCAAAGCAAUAACAUAACAACAAAUACCCGGAUCUCAAUCCGAUAAAGGGCCGGCCUUGGUGCCUUAGACCCUGUUGAUAUAGUGAGGAUAACUCACCUUGCCACUGCCGAAACUCUGAACUGAAGAAGCAGAUUCUCGAAUCACCGACUCACCGAAAAUCCCGAACUAGCCAACAUAGCACAAAUAAUCAUUAGGCUAAGCACAAUACCCUUCCAAGGAUAAAUUGACCAAUUUACCCUUAACUCAUUCCGGCCCAACACUGGAUAAGCUCUCAAGCCCACUAAUGGCCCAAAGUCCAAAAGUCCGAAGCAAAGCCCACUAUUGGCCCAAUUUACUAAAUUGGGCCCACCUCACCAAAUGGGCCUAGACCCAUGGUCCAUAACAACUAAUGGGUCCACAAUACUCUAUCCAUAAUGUCCAGUCACGGCCCAAAAUCCAGCAGCCCAAUAACAGCCCAAUCCCUAAGGCCCAAAAUGAAAAACCCAACAGAGGGAGUACGCUGGGCGUACCCUCCUUGGUACGCUGGGCGUACACGCUGAUUCGCAACUAGGGAUCGGGGCACUGACCCGCUAUGUGGGGCGUACUCCUCUGUUACGCGGGGCGUAACUUCGCUGCUCAUUAAGUCCUCAUAACUUCUUAAUGGCUUAAGCUCUUAAGCCCAAACUUCAGAUCCCUAGGCCAAAUAUGCCUAAGAUUCAUAAAGUCUCAAACUUUAUCACUUGGGACGUCCAUAAAGCUCUUAAUCCAAGGUCUUAAUCCAUUAAGACCUACAUAUCUCACACAUGGAACAACCACAGCCCUUGGGACCUCAUUUUUCUCACUCAAGACCUCUCCAAAGGUCUGAAAGGACAGAUAAUCUCGACCAACUCAAAACAUGCAUCAAGAUGAGGACUUUUGGGACAAGAAUGAUGUCAAAACUUCACAACACUUAGAUCUAUGCAAUAUAAAUGACAAGCAAGAAGCUUUAUACCUCAGAUAGGCUCCAAAGGAUGAUAUCUUUCCAGAUCUAUAAGCUCCAGCCACUCAACUCCUUCUUUGACAACUUCCUCUUUCUUCUUCUAGCCUCUCCUUUGCCAAAAUAAGCUUUCCAAGGCCAAACACACCCAACAAUGGAGGUGGAACGGCUAUCUAGGGUUUCUGAGGUUAAGGGAGAGCUUAUGGAGGCUAGGGUAUGAACCAACAUGUUCCUUAUAUAGUGGCUGACCCUAAUUUUAGGGUUUUAGAACUCUGAGAGUACGCUGGGCGUACCUCUAGUACGCUGGGCGUACUCAGCCUUGCACCCGCGUCCAUAUACGCCUUACGCUGGGCGUAAUCCCAGCUUACGUUGGGCGUACUCGGCGAGUCCCCAAAUUUCAUACUUGUCCCUCAUUUUCCACUUUUCCCACAAGAUGACCAAAAUAUCAUUUCUCUUAAAUCCCGGGGACUCACAAUUAGGUACUCUUAGGAACGCGGCGUUACAUUGUUAUUCAGUUUUUUUGGACUAUUUGGUUUCUAUUUAAUAAACCAAAAUCAAUCCAAAAUAAUAACUCCGUUCUGCUAAAAACGAAUCCAAGAAUCCAAAUAUCCGAAUUGUAAUUUGGUACGUUUGGAUCUGAUUUUAAUUUAAUUUGUACUGUUUUGAUCAACAUAUUAAAAACCAUAAUCAAUUGGGAUUUAGUUGAUCAUAUCAGAUCGAACCGAUCCAUCCAAACGAACAACCCUAAAUGUAAGAAACAUCAAUAGACUAUCGAUUUUUUAACCAAUCGAUUGUAAUUGGGUAAAAUAUUUACCAAUUACUCAAUUGUUUGGAAAAUAUUUACUAAAAUAUAUUAAAUUAAAUUGGAACUCAAUUUUUAAUUAAAUAAAUAAUAACACUAGGGAAAGUAGUCCCUCCCCCUCUCGUUCGUCAAUGCUUAUCGUUGCUAAUUAACCCUUCUUUUUCGAAUUAUGAUAGACUCGCUAUUAAAACAAAACUACUGAAGGACAUCGUUUUUGCUUAAUGCAGAAAAACGCAAAGGUUAUGAAGAUGUUCUACUCAAUGACGAAUCAGCCAUAAAAAAUUCGUCGUAACCAGCCUAUUUUUGUCACCAUUUAAGACGUUUACUGGGAUUUUCAGUUGAAUAUGCUAUUGUAACAUCCAAAAUUCUGGUAUGUCUUGAAACCCUAAGGAAUGAUAAGUACUUAAGAGUACGCUUAGCGUACUACAUGGUGGUCGCGGAGGAAUCAGGGUACGCUGGGCGUACCUUGGGUUACGUGGGGCAUACACGACAGGGACGCAAAACCCUAAAUCCCGGACUUGAGGCCUAUUUAAACAUCUUUAAGUCCCUUGGACUAAACCCCGGAGAGCCUCCCCAGCUAUAGAACGUUCUUAUACUCUUGGAAACCUUGUGAGAUCAUUCUUGACCCUUAAAGAGUGCAUUUAUGGCCUUUUUAGUGUGUAUUUCAAGAAGAAGGGGUGGACAAGCAAGCUUGGAUCAAGUGGGUGCUUCAAGAUCCUACACCAAAAUCAUCUUGCAAGGCUACUGGAGGUAAAAAGCUUGCAUCUUUCCUUUCUAAUCUUUAGAUCUAGCUAGGAUUUUGGUGGUUUGUCCCUUUUGUGAACUUUGGACCUAUUUUGUUGAGCUAAGCCUCCCCAUUCGACAUGAGAGGCAUAUAUGAGGUCCCCUAGUCAUGUAGAAGUAUAAAAAUGGAAGCUUGAUGAGAGAUUUGACCUCAUGCUUGGGUAAAAGACCUUGGAAAGGUCUUAAUGGGGUAGUUGGGUGUGUAUGAAACAUGCAAGGGCAUAAAGUUGCCAACUUUAUGCUUUAGGACAUCUUGUUAUACUUAGAUCUAGCUUUUGGACGUGAAAGAACCGGGCAUUAAGCACUUAAUGGAAAAAGUGCUUAACAUGGUUGUACGUUGGGCAUAACUGGCUGUACGCGGCGCAUAGUCCCUAAGCCUUCAUUACGCUGCACGUACCAGGGUGGUAUGUUGGGCGUACGCAACUCAGUUGGGCCCUAAUCUAUUUUGGGCCUUUGGGUCUCAUUUGGUUGUUGGGCUUGAUUGGAUUCUGUGAGUUAGAGGCCUUUUCAUCUAUUUGGGUCAUGGGUUGGGCCUUUCCUGGAAUAAUUUAAGGUCUUAUCAUUGACUAUAUUAUUAUUGUUAUUAUUCAGCUCAAGAGGUUGCGGAUUUUUAGGAGGACAGUAUUCAUAUUCAUCGGACGGAGGUGAGUCUUCUCACCAUACCUAUGGGUCUACAGCACCAAGGCCGGCUCAUUAUGUGAUCAUGUUAUGUGUCUGUUAUUCGUUUAUGAAUUGAUAUGUUAUGUGAUAUUAUGUUGGUAUGGAAGACCCGGGGGGAGCCCGUGACAUUGGAUAUAAGACCAUGUGGGGUAGCCCAUGGCAUUGGAUGUAAGACCACAUGGGUAGCCCAUGACAGUCCUAGGUAAAGACCAUGUGGGGUAGCCUUUGACAUUCUUGCUGGAUUAUAUUGCAUGGUUUAUGUGGCAUGUGUAUAGCUUUAUUAGCUAACAGGAUAUGUGUAUGUGAAUGUGUGUGGUAUGCUCUGGGAAACUCACUAAGCAUUUCGCUUACAGGUUGUUGAUUUGUUUCAGGUGCUUCUGAGACUAAGGGCAAGGGCAAGGCGUGAUGACGUGGCGCGCACUCUCUCUUUUUAAUGUAUUUGGGACCCUCUGAUGUUUUAAAAAGGAAAACAAUGAUGUAAUGAAUGUUAUUUUGAAAACAUAUGUUUGGGAAUCUAUGGUUUAUGAGAUUGGUUUUGAUUAACUUAAAAAUGAAAAGUUUUCUUUGUAAAAUUGGGUCGUUCCAAGUUGGUAUCAGGUUUGAGGGAUUCGUGCACAUCCUCGGGUGUGUCAGGAAUCAAACUAAGGAGGUGAUAAAAUGUUUUCAAAAGUAACCUAAAAGGAAUUUAAAAGAAACCCAAAAGAUGAGAGUGCGACGCACGUGAUCAGCCGAGUCAGGUAAGAAGUUUCCCAAUUUAAAUAACCAUGUGAUACUGAUAUUGAGCUUUGUUGAUUAUAUGGAACCUGCUAAGUGUAUGUUUUAAAAUUGUAUACGGUUAGGAGCUUAUAGCCUCAGAAUGAUUGAUUUGGCCUUGUUUUUUUCUCCUCGUUUGGAUAUAGUCUUAGGGUAGAAUCUCUUAUUCGAAAGUCUAUUUGAUCCUUUAUGUGUAUAAUUUACAUGCAUAAAAGCAGUCUGUCAUGGUUGGUUUGGUUAAUAUGAGUAGAGCGAGUCUUAGGACAGCCUGAGGCUGAUAUAUUCAGUAAUUGCGGAGCAUAGUUGGGUUGUGGGAUGAAGUGAAGUUAUCAAGUAGAGCCGUGGGGAAAAGGUACAAGUAGGUGUCGAAGGUGGUAUUGGGCCCGUACCACUGGAAGCACAGGACCUGUACCCGAAGCGUUGCUAGAUCUGACGACCUCAAGAAGGACCAGUGUGGGAAGAUCCUUUAUAUAUAGAAAUCCAGAUCAUUUUGAUUUAUGAUAUUUCAGUUCAACAUGGUGAUGACACGCUUAUGAACAGGAGGAUCAGGAUCGGGAUAUGGAUCCGGGCUGGGUCAGGCAGCAUUACUGAUGGUAUCGAUGAGAGGCUGUGUGAAUUGAUUGCGGUCGAGGUUACGAUGGGCAUCCUUGACGCUACCCCAUUCAUCUUUAGGACGGUCAAGGAAGGUAUGAUGGAGAUCAUGGAGGAGAGACUUAGGGCAUUUAGGGCUGAUGUUGUUGCGGGUCAAGGUGGAGCCCGAGCUCCCUCGUUUCGGGAGUUCAAGGCAUGUGGAGCUCCAAAGUUCUCUGAGGUUAGGGACCCCAUUGUGAGCAGACGCUGGGUAGCGGACAUUGUGAAUGCCCAGCGCACGAGUUCUUGCCCAAAGGAGGCAAAGGUUGGAUUUGCUUCCUAUAUGCUGAGGGACUGGGCCUGAGAUUGGUGGGGCGAGGUUACUAGCCAGGUGGGAGCAUUUGGUGUGGCUGAGAUGUCCUGGGCUAACUUUUUUGACAUUUCGAUGCGGAGUUUUCACCACCUAUUGAGGUGUAACGGUUUGUAAGGGAGUUUCAUGGGUUGCAGCAGACCACCGAGACUAUGGCGGAGAUCACCGCCAAGUUUUGAGAGCGAGCUUUGUUGAUUCCUCAGUAUUCUACGGGAUGAGGAGAUGAGUCGGAACCAAUAUCAUGCUAUGUUGAGGGACGAUAUCCUGGAGUUUAUGAGCUUCACAGGGUGCAAAACCCUGGACAAGAUGGUGGAGAAGGCCCGUGAGAGGGAGAUGGAGUUGGAGUCCCGCACGAAGCGGAAGACUGAGCAGGUAUAGGCAACAAGGGUUCAGGAUAAGAAGCCUAAGACCUAUGAUUCUUUGGGUAGGAGCCAGCAGGGCCGGGGUCGGUGUGCCAAGUACGGUAGGUUUCAUAGUGGGGCUUGUCGGACAACCGAGAUAUCAGGAUGUUACUCUUGUGGCCAGCAGGGCCACAUGAGUAAGGAUUGCCCCAAGAAGGGCUUGAUAUCUUUCAACUGCAACCAGACAGGCCAUAAAAAGGCCAAUUAUCCGAGGUUGCAGGGAGGAGGAUGAGGAUCAGUGGCGGCGCCCGUGCCCACCACUAUGAGGAUUACUGACGGCCGCCCUGUCAAAGCGGAACCUCCAGCAGUAAAAAGUCGUGUUUUUCAGCUGACUACCGAUGAGGCUCGGGUAGCACCAGACGUCGUGGUUGGUAUGUGUUUAUUCUUCUCUAUCUUGUGUUUGAUAAUUGCUUAUAUGUAUGUAUUAUGUUUUGCAUAUGGACCUUUUUGGUCAAGGGUAUGUCGGCUCAUGUUUUGUUUGGUUUGGGUGCUACCCAAUCGUUCGUGUAUCUUACGCUUAGCAAGAAGUUCCGAGACGCGCCGAGGACUCUGGAUACCCCGCUCGAGGUGGAGAUUGCAGAUGAUUACACUGUGAAUGUUGCGAGUGUAUUUUAUGGUUGUGUCUUGAAUGUGUAUGGCAAGAGGUUUCGCGUGGAUUUAGUUCCCAUACCAUUGCGAGGACUGAAGGUGAUCAAUGGGAUGGACUGGCUGGGGCCCAAUAGGGUCAUGAUCAAUUGUGAGUGACAUUUGGUUCGAGUUUGAACCCCAAGUGGGGGAGAGCUGGUUAUUCAUGGUGAGAGGGCCUCGCAGGGACCGACCCUCUGUUCGGGUGCGAGGGCAAGGAGGUUUCUACAGCAGGGUUGCUAAGGAUUUCUGGCUUAUGUUUUGGAUACGAGAUCGGAGGCUGUAACGGAUUUGGGCAGUGUGUCGGUGGUGUUGGAAUUUCGGGACGUAUUUCCUGAAGAAUUGCCAAGAGUGCAUCCAGAGAGGCAAGUGGAGUUUCGUAUUGACUUGGUACCGGGUGUCGCCCCGAUCGCGAAGGCACCAUAUCGGUUGGCACCACCCGAGAUGCAGGAGUUAUCUACGCAACUUCAGGAGCUGCUAGACCGGGGGUUCAUACGUCCGAGUAGUUCACCGUGGGGUGCACCGAUUCUUUUCGUGAAAAAGAAAGACGGAUCGCACGGGAUGUGCAUUGAUUAUAUGGAGCUGAACAAAUUGACGGUGAAGAACCGCUAUCCUUUGCCAAGGAUCGAUGGUUUAUUUGAUCAGAUUCAGGGUGCAUCUUGGUUCUCCAAGAUUGAUCUUCGGUCCGGGUAUCAUCAGAUGAGGAUAUACCGAAGACAACUUUCAUGACUCGUUAUGGGCAUUAUGAGUUUGUGGUGAUGCCAUUUGGGCUCACCAAUGCCCCGACAGUGUUCAUGGAUCUCAUGAACCAGGUGUGCAGACCGAUGUUGGAUCGGUCAGUGAUCGUUUUUAUUGAUGAUGUCCUGGUUUACUCCAAAACAAGAGAACAACAUGAGCAACACUUGAGAGAGGUGUUGGAGACUUUGAGGGCGGAGAAGCUUUAUGUAAAGUUCUCCAAAUAUGAUUUCUGGCUACGGGAAGUGCAGAUUUUGGGGCAUGUCAUCAAUCAAGAGGGUAUUUUUGUGGACCCAGCUAAGGUGGAGGUUGUGAUGCGAUGGGAGGUACCGAGGAACGCUUCGGAGAUUCGUAGCUUAUUAGUUUUAGCGGGUUACUAUCAGAGAUUUAUCCAGGAUUUCUCCAAGAUUGCUACGCCAUUGACCCGUUGACCAAGAAGAAUGUGACUUUCCGGUGGAAUGAGGAUCAACAGAGGGAUUUUGAGACUCUGAGGCAGAGGUUAUGCGAGGAUCCAGUCCUAGUACUGCCUGAGGGGUUGGAUGAUUUAGUGGUAUAUUGUGAUGCAACGAUUUCAGGGUUGGGUGCAAUAUUGAUGCAGCGAGGGUAUGUGAUUGCUUAUGCCUCGAUGCAGUUGAAGCCUCAGGAGGCAAAUUACCCCACGCAUGAUCUGGAGCCGGGGACGGUGGUGUUUGCACUCAAUAUUUGAAGGCAUUAUUUGUAUGGGGUGCGGUUCAUUAUUUAUACCGAUCACAAGAGUCUAAAGUAUUUAAUGGAUCAGCAGAACCUUAAUAUGCGAUAUAGGAUAUGGUUGGAUGUACUGAAGGAUUAUGAUUGCGAGAUCAUAUACCAUCCAGGGAAGCCCAACGUGGUGGCCGAUGCUUUAAGUCGCAAGGCGACGAGGUCCCCGAUUAGGGACAUUUAUAUGAGGAUGACAGUGAUUUCGCCUUUGUUGGAUAUGAUCAUAGGGACUCAGGAUGAGGGGGUGAAGAAGGAGAACUGGAAAACAGAGAAAUUAAGGGUCAGUAUCCUUUGUUUGUCAAGGAUAGUUGCGACCUUUUGACUCAGUGUGGCCGAGUGUGGGUACCAUUGGCAGGGGGAGUGAGGCAGAGAUUGUUAGAGGAGGCGCAUAAGUCCAAGUUUUCUAUACAUCCAGGUGCAACAGAAAUGUAUAGGGACUUGAGACUGAGUUAUUGGUGGCCCUAAAUGAAGCGGGAAAUUGUCUGGUUUGUGGAGCGGUACAUGACCUGCAGGAAGGUCAAGGUCGAGCAUCAGUGGCCGCAUGGAAAGGUUCAGCCGUUACCCGUUCUCAUGUGGAAGUGGGAAGAGGUCACCAUGGACUUCAUUACGAAGCUACCAAGGACGGCGAAAAGAGUGGAUGCCAUAUGCGUUAUCGUGGGCAAACUGACGAAGAGUACCCAUUUCAUUCCAAUCUCCGAGAGUAUAUCCGCAGAAAAGUUGGCGUACAUUUAUGUUCGAGAAGUGGUGGCUAGGCAUGGGGUGCUGGUGUCAGUGGUUUCGGAUAGGGGUGUUCGGUUUACAUACAGGUUUUGGGGAAAGUUCCAAGAGGAACUAGGUACACAGCUACACUUCAAUACAACAUAUCACCCUCAGACGGACAGUCAGAAUGAAAGGACGAUCCAGACAUUGGAGGACAUGCUGCGGGCAUGCGUGUUGGAUUUUGGAGGAAGUUGGGAUACGUACCUUCCACUAGCAGAGUUCUUGUACAACAACGGUUAUCAUGCUAGUAUCAAUAUAGCUCUUUUUGAGAUGUUAUAUGGUCGGAAGUGUAGGACCCCAGUAUGCUGGGACGAGGUUAGACAUCGGGUGAUGGGGAGCACGGAGGUGGUACUCAAGACCACCGGGUUAAUCCAUGAGGUGCACGAUCGGUUGCGAGUCGUGCAGAGCCGUCAGAAGAGUUAUGAUGAUCAACGACGAUCGAACCUUGAAUUUUGGGGGGGGGGGGAUUUCGUUUUGCUGAAGGUGUCACCCUGGAAGGGGAUUAUCAGGUUUCGUAAAAGAGGCAAGUUGGGGCCUCAGUUUAUAGGCCCGUUCAGGAUCAUAGCCCAAGUGGGCAAGGUAGCCUAUCGUUUAUAGCUUCCAGAGGAGCUUAGUCAGAUUCACAACAUCUUCCACGUUUCUCAGCUUCAGAAGUGUGUUGUUGACGAGUCUGCAGUUAUAUCCUUGGAUGAUAUUCAGGUGGAUGGGGGCUUGAAUUAUGUCGAGAGGCUGAUUGCCAUACUAGACAGGAAGACGAAAGGGACUUCAGAACAAGGAAGUAAAGUUAGUAAGGGUGCAAUGGCAGCACCGAAGGGGCUCCUAAUGGACUUGGGAACCAGAGGAUGAGAUACGGGAGCAUUACCCAUAACUGUUUUUAGCCACAAACUUCGAGGGCGAAGUCUAGUUCAAGGGGGGGGGGGAGAGUUGUAACAUCCAAAAUUAUGAUAUGUCUUGAAACCCUAAGGAAUGAUAAUUUUACAUAAUUAGUCCCUUGAGUACGUUGGGCCUCUUUUGUUGAGCUAAGCCUCCCCAUUUGAUAUGAUAGGCAUAUUUGAGGUCCCCUAGUCAUGUAGAAGUAUAAAAAUGGAAACUUGUUGAUAGAUUUGACCUCAUGCUUGGGUAAAAGACCUUGGAAAGGUCUUAAUGGGGUAGUUGGGUGUGUAUGAGACAUGCAAGGGCAUAAAGUUGCUAACUUUAUGCUUUAGGACAUCUUGUUAGACUUAGAUCUAGCUUUUGGACGUGAAAGAUCCGGGCAUUAAGCACUUAAUGGAAAAAGUGCUUAACAUGGUUGUACGCUGGGCGUAACUGGCUGUAUGCGACGCGUAGACCCUAAGCCUUCAUUACGUUGCGCGUACCAGGGUGGUACGUUAGGCGUACACAACUCAGUUGGGCCUUAAUCUAUUUUGGUCCUUUGGGCCUCAUUUGGUUGUUGGGCUUGAUUGGAUUCUGUGAGUUAGAGGCCUUUUCAUCUGUUUGGGCUGCGGGUUUACCGGUUGGGCCUUAUUGGGCCAAGGGGCCCAUUAAGGAUGAUGGAAUUGGACUUGGGGAUAAAAUUGGAAGGUUGGGCCUUUCCUAGUAUAAUUUAAGGUCUUAUCAUUGACUAUAUUAUUAUUGUUAUUAUUCAGCUCGGGAGGUUGCGGAUUUUUAGGAGGACAAUAUUCAUAUUCAUUGGAUGGAGGUGAGUCUUCUCACCAUACCUAUGGGUCUACGAUACCAAGGCCAACCAUUAUGUGAUCAUGUUAUGUGUGUGUUAUUCGUUUAUGAAUUGAUAUGUUAUGUGAUAUUAUGUUGGUAUGGAAGACCUCAGGGAGGGGUGGCAUUGGAUAUAAGACCAUGUGGAGUAGCCAAUGACAUUCCUAUGUAAAGACCAUGUGGGGUAGCCCAUGGCAUUCUUGCUGGAUUAUAUUGCAUGGUUUCUUUGGCAUGUUUAUGGUUUAUUAGCUAACAUGAUAUGUGUACGUGAAUGUGUGUGGUAUGCUCUGGGAAACUCACUAAGCAUUUCGCUUACAAGUUGUUGAUUUGUUUCAGGUACUUUUGAGCCCAAGGGUAAGGGCAAGGCGUGAUGACAUGGCGUGCACUCUAUCUCACUUUUUAAUGUAUUUGGGACCCUCUUAUGUUUUAAAAAGGAAAACAAUGAUGUAAUGAAUGUUAUUUUGAAAACAUAUGUUUGGGAAUCUAUGGUUUAUGAGAUUGGUUUUGAUUAACUUAAAAAUGAAAAAAUUUCUUUGUAAAAUUGGGUCGUUACAACUAUCCAUCUAAGAUGUUCAAAUCAUUAUAAAUGGAUUUAACUUUUGAUAGAUUAACAACGGAUGUGUUUAGUGGUCAUUGUAAUUAUGCAACAAAUUUGGACAAUGGGAUGCUUGGAGUUAGGUACGGAAUUGAACUCAAAAUAGAAAAUAUUAUUGAAUAGUGUAGACCACUUGUGGUGUAGACAAUGGCGGAUCCAAUGCAUCACAAGUGGGUGUAUGGAACCACUUAAAAAUGGCUCCCAAUAAAUUUUUAGUAAAAAAAAAUUUGUUAUGUAGUUGAACAAUCGACCCCAGUUAAGUUUUAUUUGGUACCCAUUUGUAACGUCCCAAUUUCCAAACUAAAUUUUUUAUUUUGAAAAUAAUAUAAACACCCAUUUUUAAUAAAGUUACAUUCAGAUCAAACCAUUUGUUUGUAAAUCAUAGUGAUAAGGAAGACAAUGUGGAAUCUCGAAUCAUAAAAUUGUUGAUGUGUGUGUACAAUCUCGCAUUCGCAGUCAGAUAAGUACCUGCAAAAUAUUUAAUCCACAACUAUAAGCAUAAAUAUUAGUAAGUUCCCCAAAAUAUCAUGUACAACACAUCAUAAUAAUCAGUUAUGGGUUAUCAGCGAGCCUGAGACUAUCAACAGUCUUGAAUAUCACAUACAACACAACAAUAUAAACAACUAUGAGUUAUCAACAACCUUUGGGACUAUCAACAGUGCCAGUGGGCUAACAGCAUGCCUUGUGGAUUAACAACACACCUCACGGAUUAUCAGCACCCCUGGAGACUAUCAGUAGUCCUAUAAUUCACAUAAGGCCCAACCAAAGUAUCCAUAAUUCAUAAUAUUAACAAUUAUCAUUCCCUUGAUAAUGGGCCUAAAAUCCAAGUCCAAAAUUAUUAAUGGGCAUCUUGGCCCAAUAAGGCCCAACCAAAUUAUCCAUGGCACAUACCAGAUGAAAUAGCCCAUAAUUCACAUAAUGUAACCAAUCCAAUAACCAAAAUGAAGCCCAAAAGCUCAAAGGCCCAAAACAGAUUCAACCCAAUCUGUAGCGUGUACGCUCGACGUACCAUUCUGGUAUGCGCAGUGUACUGGGGUCUUAAUGACUACGCGCAGCGUACAUUGAGUACGCCCAACGUUCUUCCAGAUCAAGCACUUUCUCCAUUAAGUGCUCAAUACCAGAUUCCUUUACGUCCAAAUGCCAACUCUGAGUUGUUUAAUACGUCCUAAGGCAUAAAGUUGCCAACUUUAUGCCUUUGCAUGACUCAUAUACACCCAAAACCUUCAUUAAGACACUUCCAAGGUCUUUAACCCACACAUGAGACCAAUAAUUCCACCAAGACUCCAUUUUUAUGCUUCAAAACGACCAAGGGACCUUAGAUCUACCAUUCUCCUCCCAUGGAGUUCCUUAACUCGCCAAAAGAGGUCCAAAAUCCAACAAAAGGGACAAAGCUAGAAAACCCUAGCUAGAUCUAAAGAUUUAAAUGGAAAGGUGCAAGCUUUUUACCUCCAGAAGCCUUGCAAGAUGACCCCAAUGCAGAUUCUUGAGGCACCAAACUGAUCCAAGCUUGCUUAACAACUCUCCUUCUUGAAAUAACUCCAAAAUGGCCACCAAAACCUUCUACUUAGGCUCCAACUCUCAUUCACACACUAACUCAGCUGUAGGAAGACGAAAUGGGGCUAAAGAGACUAAUAGGAUUUAGUCCAAGAGGCUAAGAGGCGUUUAAAUAGGGGACAAGUCCGGGAUUUAGGGUUUUGACCCUCUGAUGUGUAUGUCUGGUGUACCCUCAUGUACGCCCAACGUAUGUAAGGCUCCUCCACGAUCAUUCAUGCAGAGUACGCUAAGCGUACUCAUAGGUACGCCCAACGUACUCAUGGGACCAAUUAUGCUAAAACUUAGAUUCUCGAGGGUUAUAAGACGUACCAGGUUUAGGGUGUUACAUUAACUAAGGUUAUUACCCACUUACUUCUCAUGUUACUAUAAGAACGAUCGAGUGUGGGAAUGAAAGAGAUUGUACAACUAUUGUGAAGUGAUAUGACAAUGCGUGAUCUUCGGUAACAGUGUUCUACAUAAGUCGACAACAACGAAGUUAACAAAAAGUGCAGUCUUUUUGAACAUUUUGGAAACUUCGUUUACCUGAAGUACCGGUUACCACAAAGUUUUAUUUGAACACAUGCGUACUUCGUUGGUAUUUUGUGUAUAAAUAGUAACUUUAAUGGUAUUUUUUGUACUAAAAAACAACAAUAAUAUUUUUUGAACAUUUAAUAACCAGGUAACAUGAUGGUUAUCUACAAUAAUCGGUUCAGUGAUAUUUUGUGUACUUAAAAAACCAAUGGUCUUCUUUAAUAUAUAUUAAAAUAGAAACCUUAUGAUAUCAUCUUAAACAAUCUAGGCCCUUGACUGUAUUUCAAUCAUAUGUUUUUCACACUUAGAUCAAAUUGCCGACAUCAUUUUCUCCAAAUGGAAUGUAUUUAAUUCCGAUAAAAACUUUUCAAUUGUCAAAAAACUAAUUUACAUCUAUUGAAAUAUUUUUCAUAUCCUUAGAUAGUGACUAUCCAAGUAGAUAAUGUGAUUGUAUAUAUUUUAAAUUGCAUUCGAAAACCAUUAUUUUUUUCUCAUGAAGAUAUUUAUUAUUUUAUAUCAGUUUAUGAUUGAAUAUAUAUAUAUAUAUAUAUNUAUAUAUAUAUAUAUAUAUUUUUUUUUUGAUUUUAUAGUUUUAAUCUUCAAGUUAUAUUUUAUUUUGUUUUAUAAUAUUAAUUUUUUUGUUGUGUCGAUUUUUCAUAACUUUAUAUGUAUUUUUUUAUAUGUUCUUUUACGUUUAACUCGGAUCAUAAUCUAGUUUUUAUAUAUUUUGGAAACUUAUUUAAUUUUCAAGUCGUUUUUCCCUUUCCCUUUUGUAAAUUACGUCAACACAACUCAAGAGAGAGACGUAUUGAAUCCUCUAAAUCUAAGAGGCAAAAAUGGCAUAAGGUAAAACUAUAAGGGUCUUAAAGAAACAACAGCAAUACGCUCCCACUUUUUCAAUAUCUUCUGUCGUACUCUUCAGUCUUCCCUCCAAUAAAUUCAUCUUGUUCCCAACGAAAAUAUUUCGAACUACUCUUUCGAUUCCCUCCAAACUUCAAAAUCAAAAUCCAGACCUCCAUUAAUUCAUCGUCUAUUUAUACCUGAUCAAGGAAACCGCAUGAUUCACAUCAAUACAGUUCCCCAAAAGAUGUCGCUAACUCCUACUGUUAAUCACAGUGAUCGCGAUCUAAUGGCGCAGCCUCUUCGUCCUUCCGGCGAGAUUCACGUAAUUGUCGGGCCUAUGUUCGCCGGUAAAACCACGGCUCUUCUUCGCCGGAUCAAAUCCGAAGGCACUAACGGCAGGUAAUUGAAGUGCUCUUGUUUUGAUCUACUCAAUUGCUGCAUCUUAAUUUGAUACUUUUAGGUCAGAUCACACAUGUAUGUCGAUGAUCUACUCAAUUGGUGCAUCUUAAAUGAAUACACAGGAAUAUAGCGAUGAUAAAGUCAAGUAAGGAUACCCGAUACGCCGUUAAUUCAGUUGUAACACACGACGGGACGAAAUACCCAUGUUGGGCACUUCCUGAUCUGUUGUCUUUCAAACAAAAAUUUGGAGAAGAAGCUUAUGAAAAGGUGGGUUUUCCAGAAAAUCUUUUAGAUCAAUUAAGCAGAAUUCUAUUUUAAAUCCUCAUAUCCUUUUUGGGUUUUGCAGCUGGAUGUUAUUGGAAUCGAUGAAGCACAGUUCUUUGAUGAUCUAUAUGAAUUUUGUUGUAAAGCUGCUGAUACUGAUGGAAAAACUGUCAUAGUUGCAGGUCUUGAUGGUGAUUACUUAAGGUACAUUCCAUAGCUAAAUCAUUAAUCAUGUAUUUGUUCAUCAUCAAUCAUGCUUUCUUUUUCUAAUUACUUGCAAUUUACAGAAGGAACUUUGGUCCAGUUCUUGAUAUUGUCCCACUUGCUGACACCAUAACCAAAUUAACAGCUCGAUGCGAAGUAUGUGGGAAAAAAGCUCAUUUCACUUUCAGGAAGACGAAGGAGACAAAAACAGAACUUAUAGGUGGGGCAGAUAUGUAUAUGCCUGUUUGUCGUCAACAUUAUGUUAAUGGGCAAAUGGUGAUCAAACACUAAUACUAUUUUUUUUUUAAUGUUUCUAUAGUUAUUAAACAUUAGUACCUUUUGAUUUCAAAUGUUGUUGACGUGUUUACAACUAUGUUGUUGUUGUCUUGUGUGUGUAUAUAUAUGAGAAGUUGAAAGAAUUAUGUUCUUGUUUGUCUGAUCUCUUUAUUGUGUCCUAACUUGGAGAAUCAAGAAUAGCAUUUGAUUAUUUUGACCAUGGAUUCAUGUGGCAUCUUUUUCUUAUAAAUGAUGAUGUGAUAAUAUACAUGUCAAACAAUUAUAUAACAAAUACCUAUGGAAAAGAUCAAUUUUCAAAGGAUUUGAACCUUACACCUACUACACCAUUGACAAAUGUGUAAAUACAUUUUUUAAAUAGGUUUAAAAAAGUUUGAAAAAAUAGCAAUGCCAAAAAGUAAAAGUAAAUACAAACUAGACAGUUUAAUAACAUUUAAAAGUUUAGGAGAAUAAUAAGGUCAACACAAAAUGCAAAAAAGGCAUUGGUAUGUUUUCCCUUUGGGCAACUUUUUAGAGAUUUUAGGUUUAGUUUUUAAGAAAAAAAAUUUGAAAAAAAAAAUCCUUGGAUAAGAAGAGUGUUUAACUUUUAUUUUAGACAAAACAUCAAAAAUAGCCCCUGUGGUUUUUGAAAAUAUUAAGUUUAGUUCUUAAAUUCAAAAAACCUUGCAGAUGGUUCCUAUGGUUUCAAAACUUUUAACAAAUGGUCAUUUUCAAAACUUUUAUUACCAUAGGGACCAUUUAUGAAGUUUUUGCCUUAUUUAAUAAAAAAUAUAAUUAUUUAAUAUUAAAGCUCUCUCUCUCUCUCUCUCUCUCUCUCUCUCUCUCUCUCUCUCCAGUUACCGACGAUCAUCAAGAACCCAACCACACACUCUCUCUCACUAAACUUUGGAGGGAUUCGUUCACUGGAAAAUCCGAUGCAAUGUCUUAAGAUUCUAAAUGUUGGUAAAGAUGUUCUCUCAAGCAAUUCGUCGAACACCUUCAGUGCACGACUUAUCUUCCCCACUUUCCAACCCAUUUAUUAAACUAUCAAUAUCCAGAGCAUGCGAAUUAAACCUUCCCCUUAUACAUCCAGUUCAGCAAAUAAAAAGAUCAUGCAUAAGGGGGAAAUACGAAAUUGAGGAAAUAGAGUCAAAUAAGAGAAAGAUUAAACACUAGAACGAGAAUAAUAAGAAAAUACAGAACUCUAAGAACAACAAAGAACUCAAAAAUCAAAAGAUAUGAAUGUGAUUUAUGGAUUUUAGAAGUGAUUUGAACAGAAAAGGGAGUUGGACUCCUGUUCGUCGGGUUCAGUUCGUCUGAUGCUAGAGUGUUGUUGGUGACAGAGAGGAGGGAGAUGGAGGGUUGUCGGGGACAUCGACGUUUUCUGGCAAGCAUUGAAGGAGAGAGGCGGCGACAACUUCUUUUCAUUUUUAGGUGUCUUCGGUGAUCUUCACGAUCAGAUCUAACCCACUAGAACGAGAAAGGCAUGGAGUUGGGCAAUUGACUGUAGUGGAGGUUGUUUGGGGUUUCACUCUAGGGAAGGAACAGGGAGAGUGGUAGAGAGAUAUAGAAGAGAAGGGUAGGUUUGGCCAUUUGGGUACAUACUGGUUUCUUAGGCGAUGAUGAUGGUGGUGGUAGCCCCAACGAUGGUGAGGCCAGUGAGAUGGCGAGACUUGAUGAAUGACAACGUCGAUAUAUGCCGGAGACGAAGGGGUUUGCCGGAAUAUAAUUUUUUGUGUAUGUUUGGACUUUGGAUGAAGUGUGGUGGUGGCAGAUCUGGAUGAAGUUUAGACUUUUAAUUUGGAGAGAGAGAGAGAGAGAGAGAGAGAGAGAGAGAGAGAGAGAGAGGGGGGGGGGGCCCCCCUNGAGAGAGAGAUGGGGUGGGACCCCUUUAAUAUUUAUUUAAAAAAAAAGUAAUUAAAAACCUCAUAAAUGGUCCCUGUGUAGUGAAAUGACAAAAAUGCCCCUGACUUAAUGGCUAAAUGGUAACGGAGUUAGCCGGAAGGACCAAAUGUUAAAAGUUUUGAAACCACAGGGACCAUCUGUGAGGUUUUUUAAACUUAGGGACUAAACUUGAUAUUUUCAGAAACCAUAGGGACCAUUUUUGAAGUUUUAUCUUUAUUUUAAAUAAAAACUUCUGAUACAAAAUCAUUUCAAAUAACUUUUGGGUGAUUUUAAUUUUUUGAUUUUUAUAUUUUUACUCUUUCAAAAGUUAAAUUUACUUUUAUCGAAUAUACAUGCAUAAAUAAAGGAUUUAACUUCUAGUUUCCAACUAAUAACUUUGUUUUGCCAAAAGCGCCAUUUGUUAGGUUAAGAGGAGCUUUUAACACUUUGCUACGUCAUGUUUUUUUUAGUGUCAUCUCAUUUUUCUCUAUUUAGCAUAAUAUCUUAACAUUUGAUAGAGAGUGGUAACACUCUUAGCACUCCAUUUUUUUAUUUUCUUUUUCUAAUUUAAUUUAAUUACUUUAUUUUAAUAAACAACCAUUUUUUUAAUAUUACACAAACAUUUUUUUGAUUUAAAUAAUAUGACAUAAUAACACACAAACAUUUAUUUGACAUUUUAACAAGUUCUUAAUUUUUUAACUUUUUACAACAAAAACAUAUAUUUUAUCUAUAUAUUUCAAACAAAAAGUGAACUAUUAAGAAAAGAUAAGGAUGUGAUUUUGAAACUUCCAUCAAAUGGAAUAAAAAAGAAUUGAAAUAACUUACACCUGAUUGAUUGGUUAAGAUUUUAAAGAAAAGUCAAUAGCUAAUAAGAUUUAAUCAAUGUUCUCUCUCUCUUCCCUCGUUAUGCCAUUGACGAGCUUAAAGGUAGCGAGCCCCCUAGCGAGAGCUAGGAGGCGAUGUUCUUUCUUCUUAGCGAGUGCUAACGGGCUCCUUAGCACCUCCACUCCCAUCAGCCUUAAUGAAAGGUUGAAUCUCUAAAUUAUUUUUUUCAUUUUAUUUUCAGUUGGCAUUAUUCUUUCAUUUAUAUUGUCACAUCGUCAUUAAGAGUAUGCCACAUAAUCUUAAACAUUGUUAUAAUCAAUAGAAAAUUAUAAACAAGUUAUACAUGGCCUAUAAACAAAAAAAUAUAUAUUAAAGAAGCAAAUUGCGUUGCUAAAAAGGGACAUUUUUACACUGAUUUUGGCCGAAUGCUAGUUACACUUUGUUUUCUCUUGGGUUUUGUUCUACCAAACAAACUAAAUCUUCUAAACACUUUAAGCAACCUACUAGCAUACUUCCUUUGUGAAGCAAAAUUCACUGUCCCUAUACAAUUAGUCAUUUGACCAAUUGGGGUUCUCCUUUUAUUCAUUGUUCUUCCCUCUAACUCGCCUUUUGUUGAAACCUGUCCACCUUUCUUGGACGUGUUUUGUAAUUGAAGGGUUCUUUUCAAUGUCAUCAAUUGUUGUUCAAGUGAUUGAAUUCUGAAACUUGUAGACUCAUAUUCUGUCUUGUGUAACUCGGGUUUUUGAGAUGAUAAAUCUUUUUGUAUCAAGAAACUGAGUGGUUUGUUUCUCGUGUCUUGUAAAUCACAUGGACUCUCUACAAGAUUUUGGCUUUUUGAGUGUGCGUAUCUUGAGCUUGUGAGACUUCCCGAAAAGUCUCCAUUGUGUGUGUAUCGAAAGGAGUCCGAACAUUCUUUUAAGGCUUUGUGUGUGUUUAGUUGUUGAAUGAAAAGUGCUUGGACUAUUAACCGUAGAGGCAUUAAUUCGUUUUGGACGGCUUCGACACAAACUUCUUGUGAUAGUUUUUGACAGUUGAUGUAUUUGCAUACCGUACUCUUUUCGUCUUGUGACAAUUCGGGGUGCAUCUGCAAAAAGAAAAAGAAAAAAAAGCAUCAAUACACAUGUUUUUAUAUAUAACAAUAAAAAAAACCAAGUAAUUAUUUCUAAAAAUGUUUAUUUUUAUGUAAGAUGUAAAUCAAAUAUGACAAUAGUAUGAUAAAAUCAUCUCCACUCAAUUAAACUAUUUUUUUCACCAAAAUGAUCAAAUAUUUGAUGUAAAGAAGGAUGUGUGCAACCCAUUACACCAUUUUAACACCCAAAAGAAAUAUCUAAGAUAUAUUUUUAUCACUUAUAUUUUUUUAUAAAAUAUAUUUAUCUUAAUUAGCUUUUAUAAAUUUAAUAAAGAUCUUUUUUAUUAUAAUAAAUCACAAAUUAUAUUAUUUGACAAUCAUAACCAAAUUAAAUUACUUGUAUAUAUGCAAAUUAUUGUUUUAUUUAAAUAUUAUGGUGUAAUAAAUUAUUAAAACGACUUAACAUUUCAAAUAAAUUAUACCUAUAAUAAACUAAAAAUAUAUAGAAUCCAAUGUUGAUGAACUAAAUUGUAUAAAAUGAAGUUUAACAUCAAAUUUGGUAUAAAUGAAUAUUAUAACCCAUUUGGUGUUCUAUUAUGGUGUCUUACUAUUUAUCAGCACUAAAGAGCUCAAUCCACGUUGAAAUUGAAACUCUUGGAGUUUAAGACUUGAACUCCUGACCAUUUCUAUAAGUAUAUCACCGUAUUUGAUACACCUUGAGGUCAAAUUCAAGAAAAUUAUGAUACCAAAAGUGAAAGUAAAAAAAGUUACCUGUAGAAAAAUAUCCAAAGCUCUAUAAAGAUGAUCAUGAUUUUGCCUACAAGAUACGGGUACAAUUUCAAUGAGCUCCAUAAAUCUUUUCAACUCCAUUUUCAUGUCACUAGCUACACGAGUAAGAUAUGAGUCCCAUAAUUCCGCAACAACAAAAUUAUAAGGUGAAGGACUAUUAUUUCCACACAUGUUAAACAAAGCAUAAGUCGAAAAUAUAUUCUCUAUUAUCUCCAUCUCAAUGCCACCUGUCCCACUUUCCGUUUCAACAAAAUCUUCAACUUGCGCCAUAUGUAACACCCCAGAAAUCUGAUUUUGUAACUUUAGAGUAUACUCCUUGUCUAAAUCAAGUUUCAACGAUUUAGAUAGCAAAAUGAAAUAAAACCCAACUGGAAUUACCUUACUACCCUUUUCACCCAUAUUAAGCAAAUCAAGAAUCCCUUUUAGCAACAUAGCUAUAUCUUCUUUCCUUCCAUUUUCAUCAGAAAGUAUAGAGUUCGCAUAGAAUAAUACAAUCGGUGUAACGUAUUUUUCUUUCAUCCCUUGUCUUCUUAAAGACGCGAUUACCCUUUUGAAAUACCCAAACGGAAGGGCGAUAAGGUCUUUUAUCCACACAUCUUGGCUCAAGACCUCUUGAACCAUUUCAUCACUCCAUUUUUGAAAGCUUAAAGCUUCUAAAGUCACAACGGGUUGAUCUCUUCUUCUUUCUGGAUCAAGAAUCUCCAUGCAAGCCAUGAAAGCUAAAGAUUCAAUGCAUCGACUCACAAUCAAAAGCUCUUCAGCCCAUGGGACAAGAUUUUGACAUUGUUGUAGGACAAUUAAUGUGUCUUCCCAACUUUGUAAUACUACUUGGUUUAAAUAUAUAUCAAAACGUUCACAUAAGUUGCCUGAAGUGUAUUCUUCAGUCAUUUCUAGAUAUUCGGAUGCACAUCUUAAUGCUGCAACAUUAAAAGGGUCGACUAAUGUGGAUGAUCCAUAUAUGAAAAGUGAGAUCAUUUCAAAAGCCUCGGGUCCACCUGGGAAGUUAUCGGGUAACUUAAUUUCGUUUGAUUCGGUUAGUUUUCUGUUGAAGUAUCCGCUUUUGGAGAAUAAAGGAUACUGUAAUAAAGAUCAUGAGAAAUGAUGUUAAAAAAUUUUUAGAAUAUAAAACUUUUGAUAAUUUUUUUUUAUCUAAUCAUGAUGUGACAUUUCAUAAAUUGAUUAUCUUUUUGUUAUGAGGACCACCAAUUUCGUAAUUAGUCGAACCAUAACUUUUUUUUAAAUGGUAUACACCACAAAAAGCCUUGAAAGUUAAAAAAGAAAAUGAAAGUUAUAUUUCGCAAUUAAAUUGCAAAAUUGUUCGUCAUUUAGGAAAGAAAAAGAAAUAGAUUAUUUUUUUUUCUCAGCAUUUAGUAGUAAAAAGUAAUCUUGUGAAUUUUUGCAAUCUCACAAUUGACCCACUAAGACCUUACAAAAAUAAAUCAUUUUUUUUCGCAAUAAAAUUACAAAAUUGUUCAUAUUUUGCAAAAAAGAUUGAAGCUUUUUUUUGCAUCCUUUUAUCGAUAAAAAGUAGUCUUACAAUUCUUUCGUAAUUUCACAAUUGCUUGUUGUCAUUUUAUUGCGAAAAUAUGAACAAUUUUGUAAUCAUGCAUGUUUAUGAUUAUGAUGAUCCUUUUUUAUCCAACUUACCUUGUGAAGAUUGAAGAUUCUGUUAGCAACAUGGACACAAACUGAAGCGGGUAAACCUGUUUCUUGACUCCUGAUUCACAAACAUGAAAAGGGUAUGAUUGAAUUCAAUUAAAAAAAUAGAUAAAGUUGUGAUUUUUUGGAAUAUAAUUUGAUUACUCACCAUGAAAUGAUCUUGAUCUUGAGAAGAGCAGUGACAUUUGGAGAAGACAAAGGACUUGAAAGUAUGGAAGCAGAAAGAGAAGUGGAACCAGAAGCAUUCAUUUGUGAGUAUGCAAACCUUACAAACAAACUCAGAAUUUAACCAUCUUUUUUGAGUCUUUUAAUGAUUAUAAUUGCUUGAUCCGGAUUUUCUGAUGUUAUAAAAAUGAAAAUGGUACGGUGUUAUUAGUUCUAGAUUAAUCCAGAAAACCAGAUGAUUUUAAAAUGGAUUUCAGCCGUUGGAUGAGUGGGAUUGUGUUGGUCAAAGUAGAAUGCACACGUGUGUUAGUAGAAGAAAUGGUGAUUUUUUUAAGGUUUCGAAGUUUGUUUCUUGAAUUUUGGGAAGGUUGAAAAUGUGAUCAAAGGGUGUUAAUCUUAACCUUUUUAAACUUCUCACAUGUGACGUUUUUGAUAAUCUAUACACUUUUUGUGUCCUAAUUCACCUACAAACCCCUCCAACUUGUUUUCUUUUGUUUUUAUAUUAGAGACUAUUUUUUUUUCUUAUUUAAAAAUAUAUUUAGUUAUAUUAGUUGAAAAGUUAGUUGUUAUCUGCUAAAUUGAUAAAUUAGUUGCGGCAUGUCAAACACAACCUAAGUGAGUAAUGAUGUUAGUCUUAAUAAAAUUUUAUAUACAAAAGGUACGUUUUCUUUUGUAGACCGAAUGAACCGUUCUCUUUCAUUAUAAUAUAACAAUAAUCAUCAAUAUUAACAUGAGAUAGUUUGAAGGAAAAAGAAGACAAAUAAGUAAAAAGUUAACAUCUUGAAAUAUAACCCAAUGUUAUUUAUUUAUUUUGUUUGUUUGUUUGUGUAAGUCAUUGUGUAUUGAUUAAGAAAAAAAAAACAUUCACGUAUAACUGUUUAUAUUAAAUCUUUAAUAUAUUAAACUUAUAUUAAGUAAAAAAACAUGUAACAACUAAUAAGUUUUGUUAAUUUCUAACUUUAUGCAAACUCCUUAAAAAUUUGGAGAUUUUAAUUGGUGAAAUUUAUUAUUUUAAAUUAAAAUGAAGUGUGAAAGAAAGGAGAUGAAGUGAAUAUGAAGUCUUUCGUGUGGAUUGUAGCAUAAGUUAACAACCAGGACGGCACGGCUCCUGAAAUCCUCCUCUGACUUUUUAAUUCCUUAUUCUUUGCAUUGUUUCCUCCCACACUACUCAAUCCCCACAAAUCCUUUAGAAAAUUUAAUUUAUUGUAGAGUAAAUUACACUUUUAGUCCCUAUAGUAUAAUGGUUAUUAUGAGUUUAGUCCAAUUUUUAUUUUUAUGUUUUGCCAUGGUAAUAUUUUGUCAUGCUUUUUGGUCACUAACCCUUGCACCAUGUACUUUCAAAUCAGUAAGUACAUAUAAAAUAACUAUGCUGCCCUCUGUUAGACCAUCCGGUAUGGUUGCCACGAAGAGGAAGAGAAAUUAACACAAGCAUGAGUGACGGUUUCAGAAGAAGGCGUCGGUCAAACUUCUAGUUCUUUUCGGAUAAAUGUUGAAAGUGUUUUCCAUGGUUUAAUGGGUUGUGCAAUUCGAAAUAUUGAUGAAAUAUGCUCGAAGUGGCGCGAUAUGAGGACCAAAUCUUCUAAGUUCAAUGGAAUUUACAAUUUUGUUAUAAACAACAUACACGAAGCCGAUAUCGAUCCAGUUAAUUUUGCCAUGGAUCCAUAUGAAAACACAAAUCAUAAUCAUUUUAGACAUGUCAAAGCUUUGUAAAAAUUGAAGAAUUCCUUAAAAUGGAAUAACCUUACUUAACACAAAUUAGAAGUUUGGUAUUUGUAGGUUUUUAAUUCUUAAUUCUUAAUGUUAUUUUUAUUUGUAAUGUUAUUUUUAUUUUUUAUUUUAAUUAACGUAGUUUUUAUUUAAUGUAAUUUGGUAUUUUAAAUUAAUGAAAACUUGUAUAUAAAAAAAUUAUAUGAUUUUUAUGUAUUUUUUUAUUUAAAUUAAAUUAAAAAAUGAGGUGGAGUGGUGUGUUUAGUGUUAGAUAUCUUAUAUGUUUAGUAAAGGUUAGUGGUGAUGAUGUGACAUCCACCAUUAUAAUGGUUAGUGGUGGAUAUUACGGAUGACCUUACAUAUCCACUUUUUGUUGCAUUUUUUUUAUCUCUAUGGUAUUGGUUUGUCACUUGCUUUGUCAUGGACUCUUACACCACAUAAUUUCGGUUGUUAAAUACAUGUAAAAUGACUAUUUUUUCUAUUCUCUGCAUUCACUUUUUCUUGCUUAUGUUAUCCAUGUGUUACCAUUUUGUCAUGUUUUUGGUCAUUACCCUCAUGUCACGCCAUGUAGUUUUGGAAAUAAAAUGCAUAUAAAAUGACUAUUUUGCCCUCAGUUGCAUCCCAAAUUUUUUGCAUUUUUUUUUAUCAUUUUGCAAUGGUAAGAUUCUAGUUGUUAAAUACAUAUAAAAUGACUAUUUUGUCCAAUGUCAUUUAUAUACCUAGAUUUUGUUUGCACUUUUAUCCAUGUGGUGUACCACUUUGUCAUUGCAUUUUGUCUAUAAUCCCCACGCCAAGCCGUUAAAUGCAUGUAAACAAAUUAUUUUGUCCUCAUUUCAUACUCACUUUCGUUUGCAAUUUUACCCCAUAGUACCAUUUUAUCACACUUUUGAUCCCUAAACCUCACACUUGCAUUUUUCUCCAUGGUGUUGUACCACUUUUCACACGUUCACCUCAUGCAACUUCAUAUAAAAUUCACUAUUUUGCUCUUUAUUAUAUACACAUUUUUUAUAAAUAAAACACACAAAAAUAUGCUAUAAACUUUUAUAAGAAUCAAAAGCACUUGAAACUUGAAUGAAUACAAGUACAAACCCUAGCUUUAUAAGCCCUAAUUUCUAAUAAAAUCCUUACAUUCAUGAAUCGACCUCAAACCAUUCGAAACCCUUCUUUCUCACAAACAUAAAACAACUAAUCGGAUGUGAAUCCAAUACAAAAAAUAAAAAAAUAAAAGAACACACGAUAUUAUACAUAAUAUAUACACAACAUAACAACAUAUAUAACAGGAAAAGGUAAACUGUAUCCCGACAGACAGUCUCUGUCACAUCAAACACUACAAUCACUCUCUUCGCUAUUAGCCUCCAUAAGAAACGGAUCCUUAAGAAGAUCCGAGGCUGAGGGUCUAACCCGUGGUUGACCAAUGCAUCUUUCAAUGAAUGAUUUUAGUUCAAGAUCAGUUACUUUGUUAAAUGCUUGAGGCAUUACACCACUUGUAACCUUUCUGUAUAUUUUAGCAAUACUGUCACAUUCGCUAUAGGGUAUUUCCAUUGUAGCCAUUUCUAGAAGACACAUGCCAAAUGAGUAAAUGUCAACUAAUUCGUUGUAGUCUUCUUCAUAAAGCUCAGGAGCCAUGUACUCGGGUGUUCCUAGUAGUGUAUGGGCGUUGUGGUUUUUUCCUACUACUGCUGCUAAACCUAGGUCACCGAUUUUGACCUGAAAGUUUGUGUAUGUAUGUGAAUAUAUGUAUGUGUAUGUGUAUACAUGAGUAUUUUUGUGUAUGUAUAUACAUAUAUGUAUUGGUAUUUGUACGUGUGUAUGUAUUUAUGUGUACAUGCAUAUUUGUAUGUGUAUGUAUCUAUGUGUAUAUUUGUAUAUAUGUAUGUGUAUCAAUGUAUGUAUAUGGAUGUGUAUGUACGAAAGUAUAUGUAUGUAUUGUAUGUAUGUAAGGAAGUAUAUGUAUGUAUCAUGUAUGUGUAUGUUGUAUAUGUAUAUAUGUUUAGGUAUGUAUGUAUCUAUAUAUGUAAGAAAUAUGUGGAGUCCUUGGUUUACUCUCCAAAAGAGUUAUUAUGGAGAAAGAAAACUCCAACAUAUAUGCAUGACUAUGUGUGUAAACAUAUGUAAAUAUGUGUAAAUGUAUGAGUCUCUUAUGCAUGUAUGUAUGUAUAUGUUUGUGUUUGUAUAUACAUGUAUGCAUGUAUAUAUCUAUAUAGAACAUAUAAGCGAUAAUUUUAUAAUUAUCCUUUAAAAAUGUCGCUAAUCAUUCCCUGAUGCUUGGUUUUAUAGUAGUGAUCAUGAAAAUAUUUUUUCUUCCUUCUGUAAGCCAAAAAGAAAAGAGAAAUGAAUCUUUAUAGCUAUUGGUUCAUAAUAUAUAUCACAAGCAAGUACUUUAGCAAAAAGUAAACUAAUUCUAUUAUUAUUAUUAUUAUUAUUAUUAUUAUUAUUAUUAGUAUUAUUAUUCUAUCACUAACAAAUGCCAUAUGUUAUUCAGUCUCACAUUUCCAUUAAUUUCAUUUCUAAUGAUGAUCAUGCUUAACACAAAAUUAAUGAUGAACACACUUUCCGUCCCACAAAGAACUUUUGACCAAAAAAGCAAGUCAUGUGCUAAAUUAUUAUAAUCCUUCAUAAUGUCAUUAAUUAAAGAAGAAUUUACAGAUCACCCAUUUAUUUGAUGUUAGUCUUGUAUUAUUAAUUCCGGUUAAUGCUAGUUCAUGGAGUUUAGAUGCAUCAUAUAUAUAUUCAUAUACCAAACUUAAAAUGAGCUCCAAUGAUUUAACAAUGCUUGAGAUAAAAGAAAGUACUUACCUUUCCAAUGUUUCCAUUGAUGAAGAUGUUACUGCAAUUAAGAUCUCUAUGAAUGAUACAUGGCUCAUGAUUAUGAAGAUACUCCAAGCCUCUUAAAAUCUGUCUUGACCAAUUCUUCAAUGCCUUCAAUGAAACCCGUCUAUGUUUCUUCCUGUAAUCCCUUAAAUUACCUGAAGCACAUGCUUCUGUGAUGAAAUUCAAGGUGCUGUUUUUAGUAUCCCUCCAGAAACUGUAAAGAACAAUGAUGUUUUCAUUCUCUAAUGUCUGUAACAGUUUGAUUUCUGAAAACAGUCUCUUGAGAACAGAUGGAUCUCCACCGAAGCUUCUUAGUUUUACUUGGUUCCAUGCCACAUCUCUUCCUUCUUCUUGAUCAAAUCCCCUGUACACCUUCUUUACUGCACCAGCUCCUAACAGAUCACUGUAUCUCCCAAAUCUUCCUGAUGGAUCAACCUCAACGAACAGUUCUCUGUCUUGAUCAGAUGUCUCAGGAUCUGCAGUUGGCAUUGUUCGGAAAUUUUUUCUCUGAACCUGUGAUUUCAAACAGAAUUCGCAAUAUUUAGCUAAAAGUUCAAACACCGUGUUUUUUUUCUUCCCAAAGCUGAUUAAAGAGAUUGAACAGGCGUAAUUGAGUCUCGUAAGUCGUAUCAUCUAUCAGUUAUCGACUCUAGCAUUGUGAAUUAAGCAAAAUUAGUAAUGAUCCUAUACAAACACGAAUCAUCUACAGUUAGUGUAUUCAUGAAUUCAACAUGAACAAUAGUUAAACCUCUUCACCAACGACGUAAUCAACACCUUACUCGAACAUUUGACAUGAAUUAUCGAUUGAUCGUUACACAAAGAGUCCUCAAGUAUGAUCACCGUUUACGCAAAUCCAUUGUCAGCACUCAAUCAAAAUGAAUGAGUACAAAAUUCAAUCGAAACAUCGAAAUUCUAAGACCUAAUUGAAUGUAUUCAGUGAUAUAAUUACAUCACAUCAAACUUUAGGGAUUCGAGAUUAGUCGUAGGAGAAAAGCAAAUAAUGAUCAUAAGAAGAGGAAGAAGAAACAACUGAAAAAUUAACCUGUAAAACUGAUAGUUAAUUACCUCGACGAAUGCAGAAUCAACUAGAAGUUCUUCAAGAUCUUCGAUUUCUGUAAGUGUUCCAGAGAUUACGCGAGCAUGAGAGAAGGAUGAAUGGUUAACCGGCCAUGGCUAUAUAUGGGAUUGCUUAACGAGGAGAACUACAGAGGUGCACGAGAAGAUUAUGUGCAUUGACGUAGUGUAGUAUUUUUUUAAUAAUAUGACGUCGUUUUGGAAUAAAAUCUAAAGAUAAGCUUUGAACGUUUUUCUAAACAAUAUGGUGAGUCAAAAAUAUAAUGAUGUUUGAAAAUAGAAAUUUAUUUUGAUUUUUAGAAAACGGUAAACUAGAAUGAAAUUAAAUAUUAUUAUCUUUUACUAUCAAUAUAAUAAAAAAUGGGUUUUGUUUUGUAUCAAAUAUUAAUAAUAAAAUUACACUUACUUAUGUUUAAAUUCCAUACUUCUGUUACAUUGAAAUCACAAAAUUCCAAAUAAUCUUUUCUUUAGGUGUCCAUAUAAGAAUUCAAUGAAAAAAGCAAAGCAAAAUUCAUGUGACACCCGUGCACACCAUCCCACUUGAACACACUAAUAAUAACUUCCAUGGUUUUGUUGUUGGCUAAAAAAGUGCUCCCAACAAUACAUUGAAUCAAAAUAUCAACAAUGAAAAUAUCAACGAAUCACACUAAAAACGACACCUCCCCCUCAUAUGCAAAAUGUGACAAUCUUGAGCUAAUUGAUAUUUACACAAGUAUCAAAAAAGAUUUGGAGUUAGCAAGACAUUUAAUACCAACUUAUGUAACCUAGUUUGUGAUAGAGGUGAAUAUAGACAUAUAUCUGUCUUAAUUGUUUGGAACUCGAACCGUUGGUUUUUGAAACUUUGAAACCGAAAUUGAAACCGAAACUGACUUCAAUGGAAUUGUUUCUAAUUAAGUUUCAUAAAAUGCAAUCAUUAAAAACCAUAAAACCAACAAUCUUCUCUAUAUAUUAAAAGAGAAACAUAAUGACAUCACCUUCAACAAUCAGAGUAAUUUAUUGUUUUUUCUUGAUUAAUAUAAACCAUUGGAUCAUUUUGAUGAUAUCAUCCUAAAAUAAAAAAAAUAAUAAUUAUUGACUAAAUUUGAAAGCUUGACUAACUGAUUUAAUGUUAACGUCAUUUAUAAAAAGAAUAUAUAUUCAAUUUAUUUAGAUCUUAUCAUAAUUUUUGAAAGUAAAUUUCGUUCAUUCUUAAUUAAAAUCACGUUCUUAGCUUACACCAUUUUUAUAUUCUUUCAAUUCAAUCUAUUAUAUGAAACUUAUCUACAAGAUUAUAGGAUAUCGUUGCUCAAUUUCAAAGAAUCAAAAAUUUUGAAAUUUGAUAUCCUUUCCAUAAUUGUUGUUGAAAGUUAUGUAUAAAUCAUGUGAUGUUGUUCGUACAUUAUGUUUUCUUCAGAUCCUUUGCAACAUCAUGUUCAAACAACAUCACAUUUUGUAGCAUCAUGUUCAUCAUUCAGGUUUCUUCUUUAGUAUGAUGUUCUUAACUUUUAUUAAUUGUGUUCAUUUUUUUUUAUUCUCAUCAGUGUUGUACUUGAAUGCAUGAAUUAUCUUCAAUUAUAAAUAUUAGUAUUAAUUUUUCAAUCUUCUAAUUUUGUCUUUUUAACCUUGCAUUUGAUGUUGCAUUCGACAUAUUUGAUAAAAUGCCUAUGAGAAAAGUAUAAUGACUUUUGAUUAACUGUAUGUAUGUAUGUAUGUGUGUCUUACAUAAGUAAAUUUUUCUGAGAUUGUUUGGAUUGCACGGUAAUUGAUGGUUGAAAACUACCAUUUACCCUUCAGUGUUUUUAGUUAUCGAUAUUAUACUUGAUUAAUUUCAACAAUCAGGGUCAUUCAUUGUGUUUCAUUAGUAAUUUCAACACUUUGAUCAUUUUGAUGAUGUCAUACUAAAAUAAAAUAAAAUAAAAUUAAUUUUGACUAAAUUUGAAAGCUUGACUAACUGAUUUAAUGUUAAUGUCAUUCAUAAAAGGAAUAUAUUCAACUUAUUUAAACCUCAUUAUAAUUUUUGAAAGUCAAUUUCAUUCAUUUCUAAUUAAAAUCAUGUCACCUUUCAUAUGUCCUUUCAAUUCACACCUAUUAUAUGAAACGAAUCUACAAGAUUACGAGAUAUCGUCACACAAUUUCAAGGAAUCAAAGAAUUCGAAAUUUGAUACCCUUUACAUAAUCAUUGUUGAAAGUGAUGUAUAAAUCAUGUGUUGUUGUUCGUACAUUAUGUCUUCUUUAGAGCAUUUGCAGCAUCACGCUCGAACAACAUCACACUUUGCAACAUUACGUUUGUCAUCCAUGCUCCUUCUUUAAUAUGAUGUUCUUAAUUUUUAGUUAUUGUAUUCGAUUUUUUUAUUCUCAUAAGUGUUGUAUAACUCUGAUCUUUGAAUACAUGAAUAAUCUUGAUUAUAAAUGUUGGUAUUAGUUAUUCAAUCUUUUAUUUUUAUCUUUCUAACCUUGCAUUUUGAUGUUGCACUCUACAUGUUUGAUAAAAUGUCCAUGAGAAAAUCACAUUAACUUUUGAUUAACUGUAUGUAUGUCUUACGAUGAUUGUUUUGAUUGCACGGUAGUUGUUGAUUGAAAACUACCAUUUACCAUUUAGUGUUUUUAAUUAUCAAUAUUAUACUGCUAUUAAUUUGACAUAUUUACCCAUAAUUCUUGGUUUUUAACCCCUUUAGUUAAAAGCAAUGUACUUUGACUUUAAUCUAUAAUGUUUUGAAUUACAAUUUUUAAAUUUCUUUUGAUUUGUUGUAACUGUGUUCAGUGGAUACAAAGUGCAUUGUAUUUUCUAUUUUGUUUUUAACAUAUUUAGUUAAUAGCAAUGUGCGUAUGUGGGUUUUUUUUUUAUUUAAAAAGCUCAAGCUCUUAUUUCAACAUUUUUCCCUAAUUUGUGUCUUUGAAAGAUCAUAUAUCGGUCAUGAGAAAUCGGAAACCUAUGAUUUUAUUUGAAUAAAUGAAAUAUUUGUAAAUAUUUAAUACUAAAAUUAAAUCUAUAUAACAUUUAAUAUUCCAUAAAUUAUACUCUAUGACGUUAUUUGAAUAAAUGAAAUAGUUGUCAAUAUUUAAUAUAGUAAAAAAAAGUACAUUGGUUGUUAGUAUAGAAUUAAAUUAAGUAACAUUAUUAUGGAAGGAAUGUCUAAUUAGAAUGUUUAUGCUUAUAUAACAAUAUAAUUAAGUAACAUUUAUAAAUAAUUGAAAAACAUAGAAUAAUGACAAAUGGAAAAUAGUUAAUUCAAAAAUGUCAUAUGGAAAAAUGAAUGACAAAAUAACAUCUGACAAAAUGAUACUUAUUUAUUAGGAUAGAUUUUUAUGUUGCAUUAUUAUUUUUUUAUUGUGUAGGUUUUUUAUAACUUUAUAUGCAUUUUUUAUAUGUUCCUCUACGUAAAAAAAAUUAUAUUUUGAUGGCUUACGCGUUUUCUUUAUCAAAUUCAAAUUUUCCAAAAUCGGAUUCCGAUCGUAACCUACCAAUUUAAUCAUUAUUAAUUUCAUCUAAGAUAUCACCCAAUUUAAAUUUGUAUUUACCUUAUAUAAAUUUUUUUAAUGAUCCCGAUUUUCCCUCCAAAAAUAUUUCAAACAUUUAUUUUUUAUGUGUUUCUUUAUAAAAUUUAUAUUUGUAUUUUUCCUUAUAUCCAUAAAAAAAUUAUUUUGAUAACUUACGUGUUUCCUUUAUCAAAUUCAGAUUCGGUCAUAAUCUACAAAUUUAAUCGUCAUUAAUUUCAUCCAUAAUUUCACCCAAUUUAAAUUUGUAUUUUCCAUAUAUAAAUUUUUUUAAUGAUCCCGGUUUUUUCCCUUCAAAAAUAUUUCAAGCAUUUAUUUUUAGAUAAUUUUGCCCCAUUAUAAUUAUUACUUUCCUUAUAUAAAAUAAUAAAACUUACAAAUAUGCAUAUAUAUUNUAUAUAUAUAUUGGAUUUUUAAGCAAAAUUAAAACUAAAACAAAGUGAUUAAAUUUUUAUUUUUGUAUAACAUACCAACCUACUUUCUUUCAUAUUUAUAUAGUAACAAUAAAAUUUAUAAAUUUACAUAACAAAUAUACAUAUUUUGAAUUUUGUCAUAGUAUUAUACCUUAUAAAAUACAAUUCUCUCCCAAAUAAUAUUCGUCAGUACUUUCAUCCAUAACUCACCAAAUCUAAAUUUGUAUUUCUCUUAUAAAUUUUUUUUUAAUGAUCCUGAUUUACCUCAAAAAAUAUUUCAAGUAUUUAUUUCUUAGAUAAUGUUUCUUCAUUAUAAUUAUUGUUUUCCUCAUAUAAAAUAAUUGAACUUACCAAUAUGCUUAUAUAUUUAUAUUUAACUUUUAUAAAUAACAUUAUAACUAAAAUAAAGUGAUAGGUUCAAGUGAUGAUUCAUCUUCCUCAAGAAAAAAAAGAAGUUAAAAGUAUUGUCCCUAUUGUUUUACUCAUCAAUCUUUCAUCAAAUUGCACUAAUGAAAUUAUCUAUUAUUUUGAACGUACUCAUAUGUGACGAGAAAUGUCGUUCAACUAAUAAAACAAAAAAUGUUAUCUACAAAGAGGUCUUUCAACGAUUAUAAAUAUUUAUCGAUAUCAAUAUAUCUUUUAUACAUUUCAAUAAUAAUAAUAACCAUAAUUUUUUUUAAUAAUUAUUAUGCAAUAUCUGUAGACAUUUGUAUAUUUUUUAAUGUGUUUCCUUGUGUUCAGCGGAUUAUAAUCUAAUUAUCAAUUAAAAAGCAUUUAUGAGUGUUUACCAAUAAGUAUUAUUGAUUCACGGACAUAAGUUUAGUAUUAUUCUCACAUUAAAAAUACUUGUAUUUUUUGGCAACUUUGUUUCUAUCUUAAAUAUGAAACUGUAUAAAAAAGGAAAGUUUUAAAAGCCAAUCAUGAUGUUGUAACCAUUGUUGAUGCUUUACGUAUACAAUUAGAUACAAUUAGGAAUAAUACUAGUAAUCAAACAUCUAAUGGCAUAAUUAUUUAGAUAUCGUUUAUAACAAAUUGAAAAUUAAAUUUUUUAUUUAACAUUAAUCCAUGAUUAUAUGUUGCUUGGCCUCUCAGAUAAUCCAAAACAAAUGAGUCUUAAAACAUCUACAAUGAAAGAUUAUUUUAUAGCUUAUUUCUAUUUCAAUUAAUCUGUGUUGAUGUUAAUACCAUUAGAAUGAAGAGUUUUCUUUUAUCCUCAACCUCUGAAUCUUAUAUUGUGUUAUCCCAUCUCAGUAUCAUUUUCAUUUGCCCCCUUCAUCCUAUUUUAAAUUUUAUUAUAUUUGACUAAUUAAUCUAUUUUGUUAAACAUAUAAUAUAAAAUUGAAUAUUUUUUAUUGUUUUUUGAGAACUACAUAGUUGAUCAACAUCAAAUAUAACUUGAGUUUGAAAAAGAUAACUUAGAUUAGAGGCAUUUAUAAAAUAUCUAAAAUCGGUGGGUCUACAUAUAUAAUUAUUUUAAAAAAUAAAUAAAACUUGUGCAUUGAAGAUGAUAUUUAGAGAUAGGGUUUUCUUAAAUAAAGUUAGUAGAUAUGGAAAAAAAAAUAACAGGCUGUAAAAAAGGGUUAACNNNNNNNNNNNNNNNNNNNNNNNNNNNNNNNNNNNNNNACGAUCAUGGCUACUUCCUUUGUGAUAGAAAAUGUGAUACAUAUCAGAGACCUCUAUUAUCACACAAGUGGUUACAAAGUCCAUUUGGGUUUUAAAUUUAAUCUAUAUGUGGGCAUGUGAUCAUUAUAAGAAAUACAAUAAACAAAUAGGAAGAAAAAAGAAAGGUGCAUAGGAUUCGUCUUUAAGUAAAAGCAAGAAAGAAAGAAAUGUAAUCUUAAAACACAUUUCCAUCAUAUCUUGAAGCAAACUGUGAAUAUGAAAAUAAGAAACCUUUUUUUUGCUCAUUUGAAUGAACCCAUGUGGAGUCAUGUGAUAUUGUGAACCUUUUUUUGGUGAACGUUUCUUGUAGAAAUGCACUACGUAGACUACUGUUUUAAGCAUAGAAAUUGUGAUCCCAACUUCUCUUUUGAUAACGCCUUAGUUACUGUUUGUUUUUUCUAAGACAAAAUGUCUGCAGUCUGCGGAUUACAUCUGUAGAACUUUGCAGUAGAAGAGGUGGACCAAACGUCUGCAGUCUGAAAAAAGAAGACUGUUUGUUUUUUUAACAUCUGCGGGCUACUAAAAUAAACUGAAAUAUAAAUAAACUGAUUUUUUUAAACUUCAAAGUGAUUUUUUAAUAUUUUUAUAACUUUGUUAUAAAUAAUUAACGAAUCUAUAUCAACUUUAAUGUAUUAUUAUAUAAAAAAUAAAAAUAAAAAUGGUAUGAAUUAACGUAUAUAUUUAAUAAAAACCAACAACUUUAGUUGCAAAGUUAUAACUAAAGAUUAUAAUUAGUGAUCAAAGAAUUUGAUACAAAAAUAGAUGAAAAUAAACUUCGAUUUUUUCAAUUAAAUCUAUUAAAAAUGUACCAUAAAUAUUUUCUCGAGAAAUUGACGAUGUUGUAUUAAAUAAUGUUUUACAAAAUUUGGCAAAAAAAUAUCAAAAUAUAUUAUGAUUUUUUUCAUAUUUAUAUAAACAACUUCAACGACUAUUAUUGUAAUAAAUCUUUAUUUAUAAAUUUGUCAAAAAUAUCAUGUUUGUAUCGUUGAACGUUUUUUUUAAGUUUUGUAUUUUUUUUCAAAUUGUUUAUCAUUAAUAAAGUUGGAAAAAAAACUUUAAAAAAAAAUAAAAAAAAUAAAGAUAUAUAUGUUUUUUAGGCUAGAAGAUGUCUGAAGAUGUUAGAAGACUUUAGUCCACAUCUGCGCCAAGAAGAGGGCGCGCAGACAUUUUUAGGUCUACAGUCUUCAAAAAAACAAACAGUCUGCGAAGGUUAAUGUCUGCGCGUGGUCUGCGCGGCGCAGACAGAAGAGGCCACACAUAUCUGCAAACAAAAAACAAACACAACCUUAGUGAACAUAUAUAUGUAUAACUAGUUUAUAACCCAUGGGAACCACGGUUACAAAAUUAAUUAAUUUUUUAUAGUAAAAACUCAAAAUUAUUAAUUAAUUGUUUUAAAUAAAUUAUUAAUUAAGAGUUUUUUUAGUUAUAUAAAUUUUAAUCAUUGAUUUAAAUAAAUAUGUGAAAUUAUAUCAUUUGUAUUAUUUUUAUUUUAAUUUUUAUUCUAAUGUUAUUAAUUUAAUGUAAUUAAAGUGGAAAUUUUAAAAUUUGAAAUUUGAAAUUGAGUUGACAAGUGGCAUACAUUAAUUAGAAGACAUAAUAAGGUAAACACAUGGCAAAAGGAGAAUAAAAUAUGCAUUAAUUAGGAGACCUAAUAGGAUGACACAUGUCAAAAGGAAAAUAAAACUAUUCUUUUAUUAGAAUAGGGAUUGUGACAAAACUUCAAAAAUGGUCCCUGUGGUUUCAUAAAAUCUGAAGUUUGGUCCCUAAUUUACAAAAAUCUCAUGGAUGGUCCAUGUGGUUUUAAAACUUUUAAUGGUUAGUCCUUCCACCUAAUUCCGUCAGCUUUAUACCGUUAAGUGAGGGGCAUUUUCGUCAUUUCAAUACUCAGUGACCAUUUAUGAGGUUUUUUUUUCUCUCUCUCAAUAUAUAUAUAUAUAUAUAUAUAUAUAAUUAUUAAAUUAAAGGGCCCCACCCUCUCUCUCUCUCUCUCCAAAUCGAAUAAUCGAUCAAAGGAAGGAAAUGAAAGCGAAAAAUGAAUACAAUCGAAACAAAUGUGUGCCUCCGGUGGUUCAUCUUUUGUGCAAAAGGGAAGAGGAAACUAGAGGCCCGAUCAGAUGGAUCCAUGGAGGGAUUUAAUCGCAAAGAGGAGGUAGCACCUCCAUCGCUCAGUUGGUCCGAAGAAAAGAGAAUGGACGAAGUAGCGAGGCUUCUCUCUUUCUACCUCGGAAAGGAAUGCGAAAUCGGAGGGGAAAAGUGGUCUGGUGAGGCGUUUUGUUCUGGCUUUUUGGGGAAUCGGUGAAAAAAAAGGGAAAACAAGAUGGGUUGUUGCCUUGUGAUUUCGUAGGAGAAUCUCAACUGAAACUCGAUGGAUGAAGCAGGAUAUGGCGAGGGAUCUGCUUGGGAUUCGAAAACAGAAGGAAACAGGAGGGAAGUCGGAGUUUCUCGGCUGCCUUUAUUCUCUAGCGAACAAAACUUACUACCUUGUCCUAACGGGUGAAACAAAUCACAAGUCGUCUUCUUCGCUACUGUUACAUAAUCAUUCACAUGAGGUUUACAAAAUCGAAUUAAACAAAGUAUAGGUGAACAAAGCAUAAUUUGAAUCAAAUGUUGUCUAUUAUCAUGUACCAAUUUAGUCAAUGGGUGGUGCAGAGCAGGUAAGAACUGGUCAUAUAACUCAUGCACACGAUGUGUUUGUUGAAAUGCUUAAGCAUAAAUCAAACCUAGUGCAUAUAAAUAUUUUUUACUUAGCCAAGAAAUCAUUUUCCUGACUGAUUUAAACUUAGUUCCCUUGUUUUUGUUACUGUAAUCAUGGAUUCAUAUAAAUAUUUUUGGAGAUGAUGUUUCGUCAUUCUCUUCUUGAUGAUCAUUCUUUUGCUGAUGAACUUGUAAUCGUGGGUUUAAACAAAGAUUCAUUGUGUUAAAUCGGUGGCUUUGUGAAGGCCUGUCAAGUGUGUAUGUGUGUGAAAGAUGCAGGUGAACACAAAGAAGAAGACCAUAACGAUAAGAUGCAGGGAGAAAGAGAGGGUGGGGCCCUUUAAUUAAAUAAUUAUAUUUUUUCUUCUUUUUUCAUAAAUGGUCUCUGGGUAUUGAAAUGACGAAAAUGCCCCUCACUUAAUGGUAGAAAGCUGACGGAGUUAGGCGGAAAGACUAAACAUUAAAAGUUUUGAAACCACAGGGACCAUCCGUGAGGUUUUUGUAAAUUAGGGACCAAACUUCAAAUUUUGUGAAACCACAGAGACCAUUUUUACAGUUUUGUCUAUAAUUCUUAGUAUAAAGGAUCUCUCCUAAUAACAGUGUGUUUUUACUUGCUAAUUCCAUGAUAAAUAUAAAUGAUAUCUUAAUAUGAAUGUGUUUUCUCCUACUUUCAUUGUGAUUGUCACAAUAAAGAGUAAAGAGCAUUGCAUACCCAAUUCUUGUUUCAUGCCCAAAUAAACAGGAAGUUCUUGGGACAUGUUUCUUAUUAAUAAAUAAAAAAACAAAAUAAAAUAAAACCAAUAAAUAGUGAAAUGAAUGUUAUCUUAGAAAAUAAAUUUUAAUAAAAUAAUUUGUAUAUAAACAUAUUUCAUUUCAUUCGGAAUAAGUAUUAUAUAUUUUGUAAAUAUUUAAAAAUAUAUCUAGACCUAAAUUAAACUACAAAAUAAAAAGAACUAGAUACCAUAACAUAUUAAAUUAUAAUUAUGACAAAUCAUAUUUUAUUUUAAAAAGAUUAAUUACUAUUCAAAAUUAUAUAAAUAAAAGUAACUUAUAGUUAUAUAUGAAAAAAUUACAAAAAUGGUCUCCGUGAUAUGACAUAAUAGACAUCUAUAAUCUAACUUCAAUAAAAUAGACAAACUCAAUCUUUAUUUGGAUAUUACAAACUUUAUCCCUCCGUUAGACGGCGCCAGUCACUUGUCGUUCUUAUUUGGAUAUUACAAACUUUGUUCCUCCGUCAGACGACAGUUAUUUGUCGUUUAGUGUCCAUCACAUGCAUAGCAUGUAAGGGUAUUUCCAUCCUUUUAUGUAGCUCGUUUAAUUAGCCUUAUAUAUCUUUUUGCCCAAUUUCAGAGGAGAGUACAUAUUUUUAUCCGUUUUCUUCAUCAUCGUCACCUCUUCUCCAUCUUCAAUUCUGACAUUUGGUUGUUGCCAACGCCACUAUAACCACCAUUAUAUCUCUCUUGUCAACCCAACCACUUAUUCCUUCCCUCUCUCGUUGAAGUCAAUCAUCACCGCCUAUGCCACGAGAGUAAAUUAUCACCGCCACUGCAACCGGAAAAAAGCACCCCAAAGAUUCAUGCCAACUCGUAAUCAAACAAAGAAGUGAAAUCGGAAAUCAAACUCUGAAAUUCAUUCCAACCAAAAAGCAAAUUCAAAAUUCGAUCCUAUAAGUCAAAUAUGUUCAAACCCAUAAAUGAAUAAAUAUUUUGCCAGAUUUUUGGAGAAGUAAUCAAAUCUACUUCCGACGGAGGCAAUAUAAGAGUGAAAGAGGGCGAUAGACGUGUGAAGGUUGGGGAAAAAUGGGGUCUAGGUUUUGUUCGCCAGAUACAGCCAAGGCAGCAAUGAUUUUUGUUGCUAGUCUUCCAAAAGGAUAGGGCUUGAGACUUUUAAUCGUUCAUGGAAAAGCACAAAGGUGGGCAGUAGAAUGGGUGAGAUGGAAAAUAGAGUGGCGAAAGUAUCACCAAUGAUCCUAUAUGCCGACUCAUGGUAUUGAUUAGAGAGAGUUGCUAGAUAUAGCGAUUGAGGAGAAAGAAUAAGGCCUCAGUUUGUUUUUCUACAAAAGUACUUUUUGAGCACUUUUCUCUUCUGGCGGGUAGACGUUUCGCAACACGUCUUCUUCCGCAAACUUGGAAAAAGGCAAAAGACAUUUAACCACUUCCAAAACAAACAACACCUAAGAGAUGUGGUGUCUGUGUUGUGUUCGUGUUCUUCACGUAAGGCUUUGCCUUCUCUAGCGACUUCUUGAUUCAAUACGUCGAUGAUGUGUGGCCCGGUGAGGUAAUUGGUAAUGGUGUGAUGGGAGAUUUUGGAACAAGGAAAUGAGUGUGAAGGAUAAGUACGAUAAAUAGAGAAGAGGGAAGAGAAUGGAUCUCUCGCCAAAAAAUUAGAGUGGUCGUCAGCGACCUAUUAUCGUAAAAAGGGUUUGGGAUAGACAAAAAAAGGAGAGAUGGAAAAGAUGGGUGGGGAUGAAAUGUGGAGUGGGGUGUUUAUUUACUUUUUCUUUUUAAUUUAAAAAUAAUAAAUAUCACAAAAUUAAUAUAAAAUAUAAAAAGAAGGGAAAAUUACAAAAAUGAUCGUUGUGUUAUGGUAAUAGACACAUAACUCGUAAAAGGACAAAAACACCCUCACAUGCUAUGCACGUGAUGGGCGGUAAACUGCAAGUCUGACGGAAGGACCAAGUUUGUAAUAUUCAAAUAACACAAGGACAACGUUUGUCCAUUUUAUUGAAGUGGUAAACUGCAAGUCUGACGAAAGGACCAAGUUUGUAAUAUUCAAAUAACACAAGGACAACGUUUGUCCAUUUUAUUGAAGUUGACUAUAGAUGCCUGUUAUGCCAUACCACAAAGAUCAUUUUGUAUAUAUCAUUCCAUUCCCCGAAUCCAUGAAAAAAAAAAAAGGCACUCCUCCCUCAGUGGAAUGAAAAUCCACCCGGGAAAAAGAAUUACAUUCCAUGGGUAAUGGUCAAUUCCAUUCUUUUAUGGCAACCCAACAUGAUUUUUCACAUUCCGUAGUAAUACUCCAUUCCAUUCCCUCUUCAAUGACUUUAGUAGAUAACUACAUACCGAAAUAUAACAUCAAGAUUUCCUCAUUAAACACAAAUCAUGCUCAAGAAAAUAUUAAAAGGGAAUCUUAAUGUUUCAAUCUGAUCUUCCCAAAAUCAACAAGCUCAAAGAACAAUUUAAUACAUUCUUGAGUAAACCCACAUAGCAACCAAAUUAGAAAAAGCAUAUUCAAAUACACAACCUUUAAGAACAUAAGAGAGAGUGAUCAUAUAUCAAACUUAUGCAAACUUAAAGAGAAUCACAUGAGACUAAAAGUUGUAUAUCAUUCAACAAAAAUCUCAAAUCAUUGAUGAAAACAAAAAGUCAAAGAUACAUAUUACCAAGGAGGAUUAGAGCCUUCCCCAACAGAUGGUGAUCUUGAACUCAUGCUACCAUCUCUUCCUAACCUGGACACACUUCUUCCAGCUUUUGGUGUAGACAAACCAGGGCUUGAUCCACGAUAACUUGCACGAAGUGAUUCAUCAACAUUUGAAUUUGAAGAUUUAGCAAUUGCAUUUCUCACAAAUUUUUGGGCAGCAGGGGAAAGAGUUCGGGCACCUGGACUAGCACUUCCUCCUCUAUGCAAUGGUGGUUUCUUAAACAUCUUAGACCUGUCCCUAAGUUUUCGGGCAGCUUCUCUUGAUAAAGAAUGAGCUUUUAAGUCUCUUGAAGGUGGAAGUGGGAUCUUGAAUUGAGGCCCAUUACCGCUACCACCAAUGUCAAUUGGAGUAUCUUCUGGUUCUAAUCUUAAAGGUGUUCCUUCAAUUUCUCCCCAUGUAAUGAAAGGGGAUUCAUCUACACCUGGUGCAGGAGAUGGAGUUCUAACAAAGGUAUACCCGUUGUCUGAUUUCUUGUUGGAUUCAACGUAGAAUGGAUUUGGGGUUUUUCUUAAAUCUUCUAAAUCGUAUCUUUUGAACUUGUCUCCAUCUCUAUCUGACAUGGACCAUUGAACUGGUGUGCCACCUGCAACAGGGUUGUAAAGAACAGACAUGGGGUCGUCUUCUUUAGGCUUUGAAUCCAUCAUCUUUCCAUGGAAACGUGUGUUGGGUUUGCUGAUUUCCUUUGUCAUUCCUUUCAAUCUUUCAGCCAAUUCGUCUUGAGUUAAUGGGGCUUCUCCUCUAUCGGCUGGAUGAUACAUUAAUAGAUUCUUUGCAGUGUAUUUCCAUCCUUCUAAUGUUGCUAAUGGCUGAUCAGAUGUCCCGUAUCCAUCUGUGAUUCUGUCCUUUUUGGCAUCCUCGAUCAGUGCUGUGUCUCGAUUCUCACCUUCAAGUAAAAACGCAUACCUUUCUCGUUUCUUUCUGUUAACCUUCUCGAUGAGUUUGGAAAAACUAUCGUUGUCUUCACUUGUAUACUUUCUAAAAAACUCAUCAAGUGUUAAAGAAUCAGCGUCUACAGACCCAUCUUCCUUAACAAGUUCCCUAGCGGCAUUCAAGAGCUCAUCCUUCACAAAACUAUCGGUACCAGGAGUCCUAUCGAACUCCAACGGAGUCGUAUUUCUAAAAAAUGUUGAACCAGGUGUACGAAUUUUACCUUCUGUAUCCGUAACCGAAACUUUCCCAGAGCGUCUCUCGAUAAUCUUCAACUGCGCAUCACGGAUUUGCAUAGGAUCACCGGUACGAGUAGCUUCCAGCCAAUCAAGUCGGUCUCGGAGCUUAGGUAUAUCAGGGAAGAAGUCCCGCUCGAUGAUCUUCUCGAUCGCAGCAACGUAGGUGUCCUCGUCGAGGACGGUGGAAGAAGCGCGUUUUCUAGGGUUUUUGGUGGUUGUGGUGAGUAAAGAAUUGGAGGAUCCAACGCUUUGAUGAAUCGGUGUUUCAGAGACCGAAGGUGACGGAGAAGAGAGCCGACGGGGGGAGUGGCCUGGUGAUAACAACAUGAUUUAGGGUUUGAAGAGUUUGUGAAAUUAGGGCAAAUAUAUUUCUGUAGAUUAGGGGUUUGGGGAUGGCGAUUUGUGCAAACAGGGGGCGAAAAGGUGGAGGUCUUCGGAAUCUAUAGAUCGGCAAAAGAAGAACGCGGUUUUGUGUACGGCGGUGGAAGGCGGCGAUAUGGCUAAAAAUGCAAAACAAAUCAAAGAAUGAUUGCGUCUGAUCCCUUUCUUGAUUGAAAUCGGUGGUGUUCAGAUUUUUAAUUCGAUUUUGUUAUUUUAAUUUUUGAAAGAAAAAAAAUAUAAAGAUAAAUAUGACAGCUGUGGGAUUUGAACCCACGCCCUUUCGGACCAGAGCCUAAAUCUGGCGCCUUAGACCACUCGGCCAAACUGUCUUGAUGAAAAUAUUCGUGAGUUAAGGAAGGAAGUAAUUAACAUUUGUUGUUUUUCACAUAAGGAACUUUUGACGCUAUUGAAUCAUUUUAAAUAAAACAAAAACGUAGAUAAUGGUACAAGAAACAAAUAUAACACAGUAAAUUACACGAAUGGUCCCUAUGAUUUAGGAUAAUUUGCGUGUUUGGUAUCUAAUUUAUUUUUUUAACUUGAAAAAUCUCUACUGUUUGCUUUUGUUACAUGCUUAGUCCAUGUCUUACCUAAAAAACUAUUUUUCCAUUGAUUUUUUAAUUUAUUUAAAUAAAUACACCCUCAACCCCACUCCCCUCACCUUACCUUACCUACCCCACCACUUUUCCCUACAUAAAUAAUAGUCUUUUUAGGUAAGAUAGGGACUAAGCGCGUAACAAAAACAAACAUUAGGGACCAAACGUGUAACAAAAACAAACAGUAAGUACUUUCCGAGUUAAAAAAAUAAGUUAGGAAACAAGUAAGUAAAUUACCCCAUACCAUAAGGACCAUUCGUGUAAUUUACUCAAUAUGAUAUAUCUUUGUUAUUCAUGGUAUUUCAUCACAAAUUUGAUAAAUUUAUUGUAGAUUAUGGUUCCAUUUUUGACACAUGACAUAAACAAAUUAUGAUAACGAGAUACAAAGAACUUGUAUUUGCAACAUAUCAGCUUUUGAAAAAUAUUUAAUAUUAGAAUAUAAUAUAAUGGGGAUUGACUCAGACCGUUGGUUUAGACCGGAGUUGGAUUGUGUGGUCUUAAAUUGGUUAGGUUGAAGUUUUUUUUGUUAGGUCGGUAUGAUCCGAUGUGUAUAAUAGAUGAAGAACAAUAUUAUGUAUUUCUUUAAUGUCAUGAAUUUCUUUUAGUGUCUAACUUGUUUUCACGUGAUCUAUAAAAAAAAAUGUUAACAUUAAGUGGAGGUUGUGAAGGGAGUUUAGUCUCUCGACAUGAUUUUGAAUGGAGUUCUAAAUAUCUCCGACAAAAUACAAAAAUUUAUAAAACAAAUGAACGACAAUCAACAAUUCUCCAAAUGAUUCAGAUGUCAAUGUGACUGUCUAAGAAAUAAAUUGAGGUUGAUGAUUAAGGGGGGACUAUAAACCUCACUAGACUAGAUAGAAGAUGACCGGUUGAUAAAAAAAAUAUCAAGUGGGUCCAUUUUGAGUAUAUGGAAUGAUAUUUUCCUUCAAAAAGUGAAUAUUCUAGUGGGAAAAAUUAGACGAAAUAGAUUACCAACAAGAAGAAACCUUGACCAACGGAGUAUUGAUAUUCCAAAUACUUUAUGCCCCAUUUGUAAUUUGGAAGCGGACCAAUUGAAUCAUUUGUUCAUUAGAUGUGAGGUGGCUGGCAGAACUUUGAAUACAAUUUUCAAAUGGUUAGAAAUUCACGUCGAUUCUUUUGAUUGUAUUAAUUCUUUAUUUGAUCAAGUGGGCACGUUCAGAUGUAGUGUCAUUAAGAGAAGAGUGAUAGUUGCGAUGGCUAACACUACUCUUUGAUUACGUUGGAGGUUUCGUAAUGACGUCAUUUAUAACAAUGAUAAGAUAAGGAAAUAUAUUAUUUUUAACUCUGUUAGAGAGCUUUCCUUUCUCUGGAUUAGCAAUAGAUCUAGACAAUUCUUUGUUAAUUUGGAAUUGUUGGUUACAAUUCUCUCUAAACAACUUGUAAAUCUCUUUUUGUCUCUAGUGUUUUGCUAGAGUUUUUGUUUAUAUAUCUUUGUUGUUGACGGUUUCAAAAAAAAAAAACAAAAACUCACUACAUUAUACGGAAUACAUGUGUGAGCAGCUCGUGAAUGGCUUGACAAAGCCAAGUCACGCGUGAGACGCCAAGGAACACCGUCCCCAACCUACGUAAUUGGUUGAGGAUCUCUUGGGAUUUAUUUAUUGUUGCUUUUCUGAAUGCCAAAAUUUGUUAAUAAAUCUCUUGAGACAUUUAGAUUGGUUUUUUUAGGUAGAGGAUUGUGAGCGAAAUCUCUAUUAGGUGAAAUGGGAUAUUGUCUUGGCUAACAAAAUAAGGUGGGGUGGGAAUUUGUCACACCCCAAAACCGGAACGGCGGAAACGUUCUGGGGCGGAGGACAUCAUGUACAGUAUCACAACACAGAAUAAUAGUAAACAAGCAAACAACAUCAUCCAUUGCAUUAAUAAUGUAUUUUAAUACAAGUGUGUUCUCUAUAGUUUAUAAGACACCAAAAAUAUGAAUCAAAAUAAAAUAUAAGUCUUGCAUGUGCUCCAUCUUCUCAAAAGUUGGCAUCGGUACCUGUCUACUUAUGACCUGAGAAUACAAGUUAUUUUGAAAGAGUUUAUCAGCUUUAAAGCUGGUGAGUUCAUAAGCAUUUUAGUGUCAUUGUUUGUAUGAAAAUGUUUGUAAGUGUUUGAAUGUAUAAGUUUGUAAAUGUUUGUAGUAAAUAUUUGUAUCUCCUAGAAAAUCCUAUAUUUUCUACUAAAAGUAGCCUUCUACCAAGGCAUCAAAUGUAUUGUACGUUUGUUAUUGUAAAAGUGAAUAUUCCUCCCAAAUGUGACUAUCAUUAAUAAAAUAUAGUUUUUACAUUACCAUUAAGAUCAUAAAGUGAAUGUAAUGGGAAAAAUAAUGAAGUACUGUAGUAUUAUGUUAUAGUAACUACUUAUGUACUGACUACCUUAAACCAAUUGUUAAUUAAGGUAUAAUGUGAUAUAAUUGUAACCAUACUUGAUCGACCUAGUAAAACACGACGCUCGAAGACAUCGAGAUGGUAUGACAUUCAUCACCCGAAGACCUGCAGGUCCUACUGUAGCUAGCAGCAAGGUGUAGGACGGUCAGUCCAGUAUAGAUCUAUACACAAAUUCACGUUCUCCGUUCAGAAGACUUUGGUUACAAGUCGAUCCAUGACAGAGAUGCCAUGCCCCGUAGUAGUGCCUCAUAUUUAUGUUAUAGUAUGUAUGUAUUGUAUGUACUAGUGUAGUGUAUGUUCUCUCUAAUUCCCAUCAUAGUAUGUUCUUUUGUAUAGUAUAUGGUGUGUAUGUAUUAUAUGUACUAGUGUAGUGUAUGUUCUCUCUGUAUAGUGUAUAGUAUGUAUUGACUCAUGUGUGAAUUGACUCUUGGUAUGUUUCAUUGUACUAGAAAAUAGUAAGUAGUAUACCUCUAAACUAUACCUAUUAUAGUUUACUAGAAAUGUUGUUUGAAUGACUUAGUAAGUUUAUACACCUUUGCUACCCAAAGGUGAUGGAACUGAGGUAAAAGCUUUAUAUAUAUACAUAUAUACAUAAUANUAUAUAUAUAAUAUAUACAUAAUAUAUAACUAAGGAUCAAACGACACUCGGACAAACAACAUGGUACUCUAAGUCCACAACCAAACAAGGAACAGGAAUUAAAGUGAGUUAUCAGUCCUAAGUCCUUCAAACCUUACUUGUAUAACUAUAUUUGUAUUAAACAUGAUUUUGACAAUGUAUUUGUUUAAAGAAUUGAAAGUAAAGAUUUGGUAACUAAGAUCAAGUUUUAUAAAGAGUUUAACAUGUAAAAGAGUUUGAUAAUCAUUUUAAAAUAGUUUUUGUUGACAAAAACAGUUAAAAGUAUAGUAAAUCCAAUUGUUUGAUAGUUAUAAAUCACAUGUGAUUAAUAUUAUAACUAUAAUGAUUCAGCUUGUAUUCCCCCCCCCCCUCCAUAAAAGCAUUUAAAAACAUUUAAAAGGUUAAUUAAGGGGUAUGAACUCACCUACAGUGAGUGGUUUGGAUGAAAUUGAUGUAUAGGAUGCUAAGUGCCAAGUGAAGACUUGAAUACACACACGGAUCCUAGUUAGCACAUAAUGACACACAUAUGCAUCUAAUUAGUGAUUAAACAACUAAUUAAGCAAGUAUAGACACCUUAGAACAUGGACAACACUUUGAUUCAAGUACUAGAAGUACAAAAGGGUUGCAUCUAAGGGUUGUAGGGCCUCACUUUGGAGUUUACGGCCCAAGUGUAAACUCCCCAUGAGUUCACGACCAUGGGUUUACGGACCUAAUGAGUUUACGGCUGUAAACUCAUGGUGACUUGUACCAUUUUGAUGUUUAAGGUCCUUAACUCAACUUGGAAGUGUUAUAGACCUAGUUCCAAUGCUAAGGAAAGAGGUGUGGCAACCUUGCACACAUCAUUAGGGUUUACGGCCAAUGGAGAUUACCUUGGCCGUAAACACCCUUUGUUCUUGAUUUCUUGGUGUUUUCAAGUCCUUGAUUCAUCAAUCUAACUAACAAACAUGUAUAGGAGGUAGGGACUUACAUUUUGAAGGCUAAUGGAGGGUGUUUUCGGCCCAAAACACUUAAGUGUUCUUGGUUUUCUUGAUGAUCUUGAAGAUCUAGUUUCCAAAGAUGAAAUUUGUUGUGACAACCCGAAAUUUUCAUUCGUACAAACCUAUAGUCAAGCACUUCAAAUAAAAUUCAAAUACAUUUAUACUAAUUUUUAGUCAGUUUAAAGUCCGUUUGGGUGUUUUCAGUAUUUAUUCUUCAACGAACGAAAGAAAGGAAGUACUUUCUCGGGUAUUGGAGUAGCAAACCCACACUUAGCACCCUAAUAAGGAGUUCACAGUCAAACUUUUGGAUUUUGGGCCGUAAACUCCCUUGAGGCCGCAAACUCAUGAUUAAGGCAUGAGUUUACUCUUCAUUCUUUGAUUCUCCAACAUUCCACCUCAAGAACCCCCACCAUUCUCUCUCAAGUAUCAUCCCACUCUUCUCCCAAUCUUCCGAAAAUGUAAGUGUUUAUUCACUUGAUUUGUUGUUAUGACAUUACAUCUAGUUGUUAUACAUCAUUUCAUCCAUACAUUCUUGAUUUUCACUUAGGUCUUCAAGUGUUCUUCAAAACACCAAGAACACACACUAAUGUUCUUGGACCUUAAACACCCAAUCAAGCUUCUAUCUUGUAAGUACACUUGUCAUAGCUUGUCAUGUACUUAAAUGAACUUAUUUACACUUAGAAAACACCUAAGAAAACAUAAGAUCAAAGGUGUUUACGGCCAAGGCAUGUUCUUGGGCCGUAAACCCUUAAAAGAGGGGCAAAGUGCACCCUAGUCCCUUGCUUGGCCUUGUAUACUAGUCUAGAUCACUUCCUUGAAGUGUUUAGGACCUUAAACAUCAAAGAAACCAAGUCCACAUAGAGUUUACGACCAUAAACUCAUAAGGAAAUGGUCCUUAGGUCGUAAACUCUAUAAAGAGGUGAUAUUGUGCCCCUAAUGCUUCCUAAAGCUUGGACUUGAUCAUAGAAUGCUUACUCAUGACUUAUAAGACCUUAAAUCACCAAAUGACACUUAGUACCAUGAGUUUACGACCGUAAACUCAUGGGGGAAAUGACCUUAGGCCGUAAACUCCAUAAGGAGUGGUCCUUGGGCCAUAAACUCCAAUGCCAUGCCAUGCAACCUUUAGAUGCAACCCUUUGGUACCUAUAUCACUUGAAUCAAAGUGUUUCCAUGUACUAGGGUGUAUUAACUUAGUUAAUUAGUUGUUAAAUGACUAAUUGGAUACAUAUAUGUGUUAUUAUAUGUUAUUUAGGAUCAUUGUGUGUGUUCAAGUCUUCACUUGACACCUAGCACCUUGUCCGACACUUCCAUCCAAUCCACUCACUACGGGUGAGUUCAUACCCCUUAAUUAACCUUUUAAAUGUUUUUAAAUGCUUUUAUGGGGGAAUACAAGUUGAAUCAUACUAGUUAUUAUAUCAAUCAUAUGUGAUUAAUAACUAGCAUACAAAUGGAUUUACUACACUUUUAGCUGUUUUACUCAAUAUACUACUUCAAAAUGAUUUCUCAAAACGUUUUUACAUAUUAAAUUCUUUAUCAAACUGUCUUACAACUAUAUCUUUCCUUUCAAAAUCUGUUAUAACUACGUUUCAAACAAAGGUUUUCAUGUACUUCAAGAUGUGUUUCCAACAAAGGAUUCUUAUACUCUAUACUGUUCUUAUCAAACAAACUGCUUUUAAAUCAUUUUAUAGACUGACGCCAAGUCAUCAAUUCUUAUUUAUUAAACUUUUCAAAGGUUUUACAAAACUUCUUUUAAACUUUUAUAUUGUCAAAUGCAUGCCUAUAUAUUAUGUAUACAUACAUAGACAUAAAGGUUCUAUCAGUCAAUUCAGUAUCUUUGGGUAGCAAAGGUAUACUUUCGGUUAUACACGUACAUUACUAGUAACUAUAAUAGGCAUAGUUAGGAGAUACUACUUACUAUUCCUAGUACAAGAAAUCACAAAAGAGUCAGUUCAUUCAUGAGUCUAUACAAAUAUAUUACAUACUAUAUGAAGAGAUACUAUUACAUACUAUAUGAAGAGAUACUAUUACAUACUAUAUGAAGAGAUACUAUUACAUACCAUAUGAAGAGAAACUAUUACAUACUACAUGAAGAGAUACUAUUACAUACGAUACGGGACUGACCAUUCUACACCCAGCUGUUAGCUACAGUGGGAAAAUGCACAUCGACGGAUGUCUACGGUAGUACUGUUCGACGAGUUACCAUGCCGUGUUUAUCCUAAGACAAAAGGAUACGAUUGCAAUAAUUAUAUUAUUUUCCUUAUUACCUUUAUUUUGUGACACAUUCACAUAAUCGAUGAGGUACACUAGAUUUUAAUAAUAAUAGUUGUACAAGGGAAAAACCUUCAUUUUUGCAGAGGUUCAAACCUUCAAAACAGUCGGGUCUUGGUAGAAGACUACUUUUUAUACUAGUAGGAAAUAUGAGAUUUUCUAGGAUUUUUAUACUUAUACAAACUUUUUCUCAAACAAUCAAGUCUUUCAUUACAGUCUUUACAAAUCAAUGACACUAAAAUACUUAUGAAUUUACCAACUUUAUGCUGAUCUAUGCUUUCAAAAUAACUUGUAUUCUUAGGUCACUAGUAGACAGGUACGAUGACCAGGUUUUGAGAAGACGGAGCAGUCAAGACUCGUCUUUAUUUUGAUUACUUAUUUUCAUGUCUUUUUCUAUGAAAGAACACACAUGUAUUAAAAUCUUACUAUUAAUGCAAUGGAUGAUGUUGUUGCUUGUUUACUACUUUACACUGUUGUUGUAACGCCUGUGUUUUCGGGCUUGCCAUUUUUAGCAAUGUAAUAGUCUAGGUUAACCUUUGUAACCCGUUUUGAAAUAAUAAGAGUGUAUUAUUUGAGUAUUAUGUGUUUUGUGCUUAAUUGCUUAAUUAUGUGGUUUGAUUAAUUAAGAAUAAAAAUAAGCGUCAAAAUUUAAGUGUAAAAUAAACUUGAUAUCUUUGGAUAAUGUUGUAGUAGUUGAAACGAGGUUUCCAAAUAUAUAUAGAUAGCCCAAAUCUGACUUCGUAUGAGGAAGUUAUGAUUUAUCGAAGUUCCGGCUUAGCGAUAUACAGCCUGUUUUACUCGAUUUGAGAUCGAGCGGUUGUUAGCCGAAGCAAUCUAAAUGAGAAUCGAAGAUCUCAUUGUUGGUAUCGAAGCGAUAAAAAGUUAGGCGAGAACGGACGUCAAACGAAGAAGUUAUGAAUUUAUAACGAAAGUUUCUGUCGCGGCCUAUUAAAAAUAAUUAAUAAAAAUAAAGUCAAAAUUAGCCGACGGAGUCUAAACGAAAGUCGUAGAGCGUGGUCUCACCUUCGCGUGGAUAUAAAGAACGUCGAAAACGGAGUUCGUAUGAAGAAGUUAUGAAUUUCCGAAGUUUAUUAAUCAUUUUGUAUUUAUAUUUAAAUCAAAAUUCGGAAGCAUUAUCCGAAGGAGUCACCGAUCUGAUCCGAGGUACGCCCCGCGUACUCGAGUACGCCCCGCGUACUCCGAGGGAUGUCGACACUCGCACUCGAGCACUUCGGAUACGUAAGCAAUGACGUUUUGGGCAGUACGCCCCGCGUAACGCAGUACGCCCCGCGUACUCCGAGGCUCCAGCCUCCUAUAAAUAGGAUGCGAGGGUUCCGGGUAUUUUUGCCAAUUCCCUCUCGUUUUCGUGUCGAAGCUCUGUGCAAAAACCCCCGAAGCUACCCCGAAGCCCCGGUAUCAUACUCUAGCCCCGAGGCAAGUCCCGAGAUCCCGAAGAUCCCGAGAAGUGCGGUUCCCGAGUCGAAGCUCUGCCCGCGAGAAGUUCGAUUUUCGAGGAGAUCUUCCAGAUCUGCUGAGGAAUACUACUUCUAUAAGCCGUAGUGCUGUCCGAUCAUCUUCUGAUCAAGUGAGUGUGUAGUUAUUUCUUCUAAUACAAUAAUACGAAGUAUUUUAUAUAAAAAUACGUGCUAUGUGUAUAUAUUUGGUUGUGUUAUGUGUGAAUGAGUAUUCACUCUCUUCUAUCUUAUAGAUCUGCUUAUUUCUUUAUGAGAUAUGUGUUAUGUGUGUGUGUGCCUCAUCUGUUAUGUGAUAUAUGUGUUGAUUAAAGCAUGCUAUACAGGUUUUCUUUAAACUAUGUAUACAAAUGUAUAUUUUUAUCUACUAAUAUGUUGGGUAGAACAUGGGUAGACAGUUGGUGUGUAAUAAACAGAUGAGAGGCCUCGUUGUUGUUUGAUUGAGUCAUCUAGCGGAGUUUAGAUGACGACCACUGGCUAUUCUAGACAGUCUUGUGGAAACAUUAGCAGGUUCGCCACCUGUAGGUGUUAAUGAACUUGGGUGUUCAUUCGCUGUACUCCAUCCCCCUCAUGGUUGCCUUAUUUGACUUAUAUUGCUGAGGAACCCCCGAAGCAUGUGUUGUCGCCCCGAUGAAAUAUUCUUAGACUAGGUCCCUUAUGUUAGUUGUUUUAGGGACAUAAAGUGAGAAUAACGGGAAUGGGUAAUUGGGUUAUUGUUGGUUGGUGGAAAUUAAAUAUAAUUAUUUAUUGUGGGUUGAAAACCCUAUAUGCUCACCAGGCUCCCAAGCCUGACCCACUCAGUUUUAUUUGUAUUACAGGAAGUGGCGCGAGGGCAUAAGAUGGAUGAACCAUCAAGUUGUUUUGUUUACAAGUCUGUAUAUGUAUAUAUUUGUUGAAUGACUUGUAAUGUUAUCGUUUAUGCUUAUUGGUCUGUAUCGGAACAUGACACCCCGAGUUUUGAUUAUAUAAUGAAAAUACAUUUCUUUUAUGAAAUGCUUUGGUAAACAUUGUUUUAUCAUGUUUUGUUUUUGGGAACAAAUUUCGCAACUCUUUCAAAUCAAAAGGAUUUACUCUGAAAUUAUUUUAAAAACAUAAAUGAAAAUCGGUCUUUUCUGGCCGAGAUUUUGAGGAUGUCACAGUUGUGAUGCUUUACAUGACGUCCUCCGCCCCAGAACGUUUCCGUCGUUCUUGGUUUUGGGGUGUGACAGUUAUGGAUGGAUUCAAGCAUGAAUCAAGAAGAAGUGAUGUAUAACACAUAGAUGUAGUGAUUUACUUACAUUUUUGGAAGAUUGGAAGCAAAAGUGUCAAGAUCCUUGAGAGAAAAUUCUGAAUUCUUGGGCUUGGAAGGUGAAAAGUGAUUAAAACUCACUAAGGAUCAUAUAUAUACCCUGGAGUUUACGGCCACCUUGAGUUUACGGCCGUAAACUCAAUGGUCUUGGUCGUAAACUCCUAUUUCGAGGGCUUAAGGCUUUUUUGGUAAUUUACAAAUCCAAUAGACACUUCCUUUCACUCAUUCCUUUGGUUUAUUAAGCUCAGAAUGCUCAUACAGACUCAACACAAUGCUAAAAGUUAGCAGAAGCAAGUUUGACUUUUAUUGAAAUGUAGGGUUUGUACAAAUAGAAAUUUUGGGUUGUCACAAAAUUGAUUUUUGUAUAUUUGUUUAAUGUUUUUAAAUGGAAGUGGAAAUUCUUAAAUAAUUCGAAUGGCUUAUGGUGCAUGGUCUUUCUAACAUCCGAAUUUUCAAACCAAUUUUUUUCAUUUUUAAAUCCAUAGAAAACAGUUUUCAUAAAAACCAUCCCAAGAAAAGUCAUGAUGUCAAAUACAAUUUCACAUCAAAAUAUCAGAGUGUCCCAAAAUAUCCAAUAACAAAAUCUCUCAUUUAAUGUGUACAUCAAGCCUUCAUCUUCCCGCGAUCCUCAAAAGUACCUUAAACACAUUUAAUCAACAACUGCAAGCACAAAGCAUAGUGAGUUCCCCAAAAUAUCACAUACAACACAACACAUAAAGCAGUUAUGGGUUAUCAGCAACCCUGGAGACUACUCGAAGUCUCAGUGGGCAAACAACACGCCAUGUGGUUUAUCAGCAACCCUGGAUACUACUCAAAGUCUUGGCACACAUAAGGUAACACAUAUCAAAGUAAUAACACAUAGACCCAGUUGGUCAUCACAUAAAUAAAUCUAUACUAACACACAUGUACGAAUAAGUGAAAAGACUCACCUUGUACAACUAACUAAUAGAAACUCACGCCCAAACUUCCGGAACUAGACUCCGCCAAUCAACUAUACCAAUUAACCCUAAUGAAUAAUUAAGGUAACUUUCAUACUUCACUAAUCCCAAGCCAAGUCUAAUACAUAGUUUGGGCAAAAAACCACUUUCCCCUCACAAUAUCCAAACCCUCACAACUUGUCAAAAGGGCAUACUUUGUCAAAAGUCAAUGAAAGUCAACGGCGGCCGUACAUACGAGGUACACUUCUCUACGUUGGGCGUAGAGCAUUGGGCAGGCGGAGACGGGUUUGCAACUGGUUACGUUGAGCAUAGCCAGAAGUACGCUCGACGUACACGGCAUAUUUCAACAUUACANUAUAUAUAUAUAUACAACUAUUCUACCACACAUGUAAGAAUAAGUGAGGAGAAUCACCUGGUACUGAUGAUUGAUACUACUCACACCCGAACUGCCAUAACUAUACCUCGCCUAAUUAAAUACACCAACUAACCCUAAUUAAUAAUUAAGGUAUUCACACACACACACACACACACCACUGAACUCAUACAAGUCUAGUCCACACCUAGAGUAGAAGACUGCUUUGCCCCUACAAAACCCCUCACAAUCCAUCUAAGACACAAAUGUUCCAAGUUAACAAAAGUGAACAAAAGUUAAUAGUCUCCCAUAACCAGUAUGUUGGGCGUAAUCACUCUACGUGAGACGUAGAACGCAAGGCAAGAGGGAUGGGCUCGAAUCUGGCUAUGUUGGGCAUAGCCAGGUGUACGCUCAGCGUACAUAAGCUAAUAUCAACACUUCUGAUGCAAACGUCUUAAUCAUUAAUACAUCCAUUCCAAACACAAAUCUAGCCCCUAAAGAACUUCUUAAGCUAUAAAGUUUUUGAAUUUAAGCCUUUGCAUGGAUACAAGGAGAUAAAGCCCAAAAACCCUAACUUCUUACCUCAUUAAAACCCCGUAUCUCUUGCAUGGAGGAAAAUGAAUGACCAAGAUAACAUUUUUAUGACUUUAUACAUCUUAGAAUCGCUGGAAGGAUGAAUUAAUAGCUCUGGAUUACUCCAUACUCGUAAAGAUCAAAGCUUUGGGACAUAAAGAACCAAAAUGCAAGGCUAAGAAAUAUCUAACUAAAUGAGCUCCAAGAUUUGAACUUUAUACCUUGAAAAUGUGCACAAAGAGAUGAAGUUGUUGAAUCUACAAGCUAUAAUGCACCACCACCACUUGAAUGAUCAUCCUUCUUACACCAAAACACUAAACAAUCACUUUCCAAGCUUCAAAACACUCUCACAAGGUUAGGGUUCCGAUAUAGUGUUUAGAGGCAAUAAAGGCUAGAUAAGAUGAUGUCAAAGGGAGGGAUAAGAUGAUUAAAUAUGGGUCACACCCUAAAAUUUACGAUUUAGCAUCUGCAUGAGUACACCCGUUGUACUCACACGUACAACUAAUGUACCCCCUCUUCCGCCUUGACUACCUCGAAGACCUACGUUCGACGUACAUGGCUAGUACGCCCAACUUAAGUGGCCAAAAUGCAAAUUACAUUAACUUCAAGGGCUGAAAAUAAAAUACCUGACAACGGGUAUUACAAAUCUCCCCCACUAGAAUCAAACUUCGCCCUCGAAGUCAAGCAUCUCCGCCUCGGGCUCCCAAGUCCACUCUGAGCCCUUCCGAUGUUGCCAAUGAACCCUGACCAGGUUCACUACCUUAUUCCUAAAUGUCUUCACCUUCCUAUCCAUAAUUGCAAUCGGGCUCUCAAUAUAGUUCAGGCUAUCAUCGAUCUGAAUGUCCUCCAAAGGAACCAAAAUUGUCUCAUCAGCUAUACACUUCCUCAACUGGAAAACAUGGAAGGUAUCAUGGUUAUGACUUAACUACUCAUGGAGCUCCAGCCGGUAAUCCAGCUUGCCCACACGGACUAACACUCUUAAAGGGCCAAUAAACUUGGUCCCCAACUUGACCCGCUUCCUAAAUUGAAUAACGCCCUUCCAUGUUGAUACUUUCAGAAAAACCAAAUCACCAACCCAAAAUUCCAACUCAGAGCGUCGCCGGUCCGCAUAACUCUUCUGAUGACUUUGAGUCGUUAGUAAUCUCUGUCUGACUUGCUGAAUAAGCUCAGUCGUCUUCAACACUAUCUCAGUGUUCCACAUGACUCUCUAUCUGACUUCUCCCUAACAAAUAGAAGUCUGACACUUCCUCCCAUACAAAAGAUCAAAGGGAGGCAUGCCAAUGUUGGCAUGAUGGUUGUUUUUGUAAGAAAACUCAGUCAAAGGGAGGUAAGAGUCCCAACUCCCACCAAAAUCAAUGAUGCACGAAUGAAACAUAUCUUCAAUCGUCUGAAUAGUCCGCUUACUCUGCCCAUCAGUUUGCGGAUGGUACGCGGUACUGAAAUGCAAUCGGGUGCCCAAUUCUUCGUGAAACCUCUUCCAAAACCUGGAAGUAAAUCGAAGAUACAUAUCCGACACAGUAGAAUUCGGCACCCCAUGUCGAGCCACCACUUAUCAAACAUAAAUCUCAUCUAACUUAUCGGAAAAAAAGAGCCCCUCACUUAUGUCUAAGAAGUGAGCGCUCUUCGUCAAGCGGUCAACUAUCACCCAGAUAACAUCAACUCCUUUUGCAGUAUUUGACAAUUUUGUGAUGAAAUCCAUUUUGAUUUGUUCUUACUUCCAUAAUGGAACCCCUAAAGGCUGCAAAUUGUCAUGAGGACGUUGGUGCUUAGCCUUCACCUUCCAACCGAUCAAGCAUCGCUCUACAAACCAGGCCACAUCCAUCUUCAUACACGACCGCCAAUAAUUAUGCUUCAAGUGAAGAUACAUCUUGGUAGCCCCCCCCCCCAAAUGAAUGGAGAAUAUCAACUUGUGGGACUCCCCCAUCAACACCCAUCAAACCCUACCUGCAUGCGGUACCCAAACUCGUCCAUGAAGAGUCAAAAGCCCUAUGUUGUCGAUAUCAAAGGUUGAAACCUGACCGAUCACUCGCUCACUCUUCCGAUUCUAUUUUUUAUGGCCUCUGACUGCGCUUCUUUGAUCAUUUCCAAAACUAUGGUCAUCACAGUCAUCCUUAAACACACAUCGUAAAUCGGGGUACUGACCGCCCUCCGAACCAAGGCGUCGGCUACCAGAUUGGCCUUGAAUGGGUGAUAUGUGAUCUCAUAGUCAUAAUAUUUCACUACAUCCAACCACCUCCUCUGCCUCAUGUUCAUGUUAGGCUAGUCCAUAAGAUAUCUCAGGCUCUUAUGGUUCGUAUAGAUAGUACACUGAACUCCAUAAAAGGUAAUGAUGCCAAAUCUUGAGAUCAAAAAUCGCCGCCCCCAAUUCCAAAUUAUGGGUGGGAUACUCCGCAUAAUGAGGCUUCAUUUGCCUCGAAGACUAUGCAAUCACAUGCCCAUUUGCAUCAACACAACACCCAACCCUAAAAUGGAGGCAUCACCACAAAAUCCCCAACUCCCUCCGAGAGGGCAAGUACCGAUGCCUUACAAGUACCAGGGCCCGAUGCCGGACUUCUUCUGGUGCCAGGGGAGGGGGUGAAGCGGGCAAGGCCUUCGAUUUUUCUAUUAUGUGAUUAUGUGCAUGGUAUGUGGUAGUUUGGGGAGACUCACUAAACUUUGUGUUUACAGUUUUCAGUUUUGGUUACAGGUACUUCCGGUAGCAAGGGGAAGAGUUCAGGAUGACUACGAUGCACAUACCAUUUGUUUAGUCUGGGAUGUUUUACUAUGAUAUAUUGACAUGUGUGUUUAAUAUGAUACUCUGAUUUGAUAUGAUGACUUAUGUUUUUGGAUAAAAUGUUUUGAUAACUAUGGUUUAUUUAAUAAUUAAAAAUAAAAUUUUUGGUCAUGAUUUUUUGGAUGUUACCAGUUGGUAUCAGAGCCUUGGUUUGAGGGAUUCGAAUACACUCUCGGGUGUGUCUGAACUCAAACUGAGGACUUGGUAUAAUUUUUUUUAUAAAGAAAACCAUUUUAUAAAAAAGAUCUAGAAAAGAGAAAAGGGUGUGGUACAUGCAAUCAGCUGAGCUUAAGUGAGUUCUCCCAAAUUACCCAUACAAGUUAUGUUAUGAUAUGAAUUGUGAAUAUAUGAAUUGCAUCCUAGAUUAGGGCUAAGGAUCUAGGAAGGAUGCCUUAUAUGCCUGCUAUAUGAGCUUUAUGAACUGCAUGCUAGUACUGAGCAAUCAGUGAUAUGAUGGCCUGAUUAGGAUAUGCUUGGUUAUGUUUACUUAAUGCUUGAAUGUUGCUUGCUUUGUACUUUUAGAAGUUUUAGUUAUCUUUGACUAACUAUUAAACAAAUAUGUUAAGUUACAUAUUACAAUGGCUAAAUAAUUUCAGAAGGUUAGGUUUAGCUCUAUUUCACAGCUCUUGUUUGAGUCUAACCGUUGUAAGGUAGGACCUCUCAUUCGAAGAAUUAUCUGGUCUUAAUGAUAUGUAAUGGUAUUCGCGAGUUAGUUAGGGGAGAUAGCAGAGACUACUUAUGCAACUGAUGGCAGAGAGUGGGUCGGAGAUUACCCUAGGGCAAGCCUAGGAUGAGAUUAGCGUAGAGAGCAGUAGUAGCGAAAUGUACUUGGUGGAGUCAAGGCAGUUCUUGAUGAAAGUACGGAUAGAUGUGGAAGGUAGUAUGGGCCCGUACUACUGAAAGCAGAGGAUCCAUACUCGAAUCAAGGAAGGCUAAGAUGAACCCAUGGAACAUGUAGUGUGUGUGAUCCCUCGAGUUAUGACGAGUGUACUGGUGUUUGUUAUGGUGUAUUUUCAGUAUGGUGACACUACGUACGAGACCAGUUGGCAGCUCUGGCACCGGCGAGGGAUCAGGCUCGGGAUCUGGAGUCGGGCAUCCCGAUGAUCAGAUGAGUGAGUUCAUCUCAUCAUUACUUAUCUACAUCAUUACCUAAUAUACAAAAGAUUAUAUAAAAUAACUACUAUAUGUACUGAAGCCGAUAAGCUUUAUAUGUUGGCUCUAGUUGUAGGGUACACGUUGAUGCUAGAGAAUGUGUAGAGUGUUUGACUCAUCAUAUCAUAAGGUGUGACCUUAUAAUCUCCCACUAUCUGAUGAUGUCAAAGCUAAUCUUCAAUGAAUUCUUCAGUUCGUGCUCCCUCUAAGACUAAGAAUGAAGUUUUAAUGUUUCAACUUUAACUAAUGCUCCCCCCUGAGAAUAUGAAUGACUUAUUAAGUAAUCGAGGCAUCAUUUAUGAAUCACAACGGACGAAGGAUGAAUAUGUAAAGGUGACGAGUUGGCAACUCUGGCACCGAUGAGGGAUCAGGCUCGGGCUUUGGAGCCGGCCAGCUCGAUGAUCAUAUGAGGGAGUUCAUUUCAUCAUUACUUAUCUACAUCAUUACCUAACAUACAAAAGAUUAUAUAGAAUAACCACUCUAUGCACUAGCUUUAUACGUUGGCGAUGGUUGUAGAGUACACGUUGAUGCUAGCGAAUGUGUAGAGUGUUUGACUCAUCAUAUCAUAAGGUAUGACCUUAUAAUCUCCCCCUAUAUGACGAUGUCAAAGCUAAUCUUCAAUGAAUUAUUCAGUUUGUGCUCCCCCUAAGACUAAGAAUGAAGUUUUAAUGUUUCAACUUUAACUAAUGCUCCCCCUGAGAAUAUGAAUGACUUGUCAAGUAAUUGAGACAUCAUUUAUGAAUCGCAACGGAUGGAGGAUGAAUAUGUGAAGGUGACGAGUUGGGCUGAAAGUGUGGAUCAGCUUGACCCAACUAGCUGAGAAUAUUGAUAUUAGCUUGACUCGACUCCCCCUUAGAUUGUGCUUUUAUGUAUAGAUUUUCUCCCCCUUUUUGACAUUAGCAGUAAACACAUGAAUAAAGUUGUUGUAGCUUGUAGUUUAGUAAGAUUAUGACGUCUCUUGAUAGUAUUGGCUUAAACUAUCAUUCACUAACAAUGUAUUGCGAGAUUCAUCAGCAUGUGGUUUCAUACGCUGACUCAUUAGUCACUUUUAUUAAAAGAAAAAGAGCAAUGAUUUUAUGUUGUGUGUAACACAUUCCGAUAUGAAAUGUACAAAUCGACAAAGAGUGUCGAAGUUUUAUCAGUGUAUGGAUGAAUUAUUGGGAAAGAGUAGGUAGGCGCGUGUAAUAUAUCACGCACAAUGAUAUACCCAUCGGCACAAAUUUUCGAAUUCUCAUCAGUGUCUAGUAUCAUACGCUGAAUCAUAAAAUUCUAAAUAAGAAUUUAUGGAAAGAAUAGUUUGAUGCGUGUGAUAAGCUGUGGUGUUUUAGCUUAACCAUCGACAUAGAUUUUUCAAGCUCUCAUCAGCGUGUGUACAUUACAUUGAACCAUAAAACUUCAAAGAAGAAUAUCAAGGCAAUAAUGGGUUGGUGCGUGUGAUAGCCUACAAUACAUAGACUAACCAUCGACACAUUGUUUCAAACUUUUAUUAGUGUGUGGUAUAUCACAGUGAAUCGUCGAGUUUUAUUAAAAAAAUUAAGGAAAUAAUAGAUUGUUUAAGUCACAAUGAUGUGGAAUCAACGUGAAUCAUAAACGGUGUUAACUCAUCAAAAAAAAGUGGUUCAAACUUCCGUAUCAUAUAGUUAAGUUGCAGUUUAGAACUAUAAAGUUCACCAUCAAUUCUUUAGAAUGGUAUAAAAAUAAUAAUAAAUAAUAUAAGAAUACAACAAAAAAAGUUAGUCAAAUAAGGAAAGGAAUAUACAACCUUGUUCAGAGGCUCUCUAUAUAGCCUUUUUCAGAAGAUGUUUUGUGAAAAAUAAAUCUUUUGAAGUAAUUACUCAUUUAUUAAAUUUCUUUGUUCGAGAUAUCUACCCUUCAAGAUUGGCUAUUAAUCACUGAAAUAUUCCAGAUGAACUUCAACCUUCAUAUUUAUCAAAGAACAAAAGAGAAGUAGAGAUCAGUCUUUGUAACCAACAAGUUAACUGACUCAAAUCCAUGAAACCAUUGUGUCCUCAAGAUUAACAUGAGGGCAUUUGAGGUUUUAUCAGAUCAAGAGUCAGUAGAUGAAAACAAGACCUACUACAUUGAUGGUUGCUCUUUGCAUCCAUAACAAUUAGUGGAGGAGAAAGAGUGUAUCCUCAAGAGGAAGAGGAUUUUCUCCUAACUAUCCCUAUUGAUGGCCCAGACCAGCAUAUGUCUAAUGUGGAGUACCAAACUAUCCUUCGUUACCGCCUCAUGAUUCCUCUAUUCUCGAUUGACGAGAUAUGCCUAGUUUGCUGCAAGGCAUUUUGGAUACAUGUAGGGAACAUGCAGUUCUUUGUACCUACAUGAUGUGGUUAGGGAUGUUCUCUUUGAUGUUUGUCGGCUGCUGAUAUUUUCGUGAAGAAAGAAAUGUUAGUGAACUUUUUGACGGACCCACUGGAUGGAAGAUCCACACUCAGGCCGACUGACAUUUUGGUCUUUAGAUAUGUAGGAGGGAAGCACGCUUGUGUGGAUCUUAUUGGGGUCUCCCCUUUCGUCGGUUUGAGAUGCGGGGGUUUCACAGUAGAGCAUGUCGCUUUGAAAGCUGCUGCAUGCAAAGUGGCAAAGCACGAGAAUGCAUGCAUAGAAAAUCACAUGUGCUUAUACCUUUUGCAUUUGAUACUUUUGGUUUUAUCGAACCAAAGACGAUGAAACUCCUCAACAAAGUUUAACAGAUCAUGCAUUAUAAUGUUAUAUCUUCAACAUCCACGUAUGUUGUUUUCAAAAGAAUUAGUUUUGUCAUUCAGAAAAAUUUAAUAACACAACUUAUUGUCCAUUUGCUUUCCGUCUAUAUGCAAUGAUUUUUUUUUUUUUUUAUCAUCAAUUUAAAUUGGAAUUUGAUUUAUUCAAAUGUAUUAUUUUCAAAACAAAUCAAAUGGUUAACAUUGAUUUACUCAAGUAAGCCGAUACAAGCCCAUUGGGUCAAAAGAACGGGGUUCAUCCAUUGAUUCCAUUCUAUGAUUAUAUCCUAACACCAUCUGACGGCUCACAAAGCAUCACCAUCAUCACAAAGACCUCCAUCCUUCUCUUAUAAUAAGCCUCUUCACCUCGCCACAUCAACAAGUAACCCUAGCUAAACAUACAACCAUCAUCAAGUCACACCCCCUUCAACCCUCUCAAAUCUAGGGUUUUUUUUUUGUCUAAAUUUCAAAUGUCAAGACAUCAUAGAUUUGUAGCUCUCGUAGCCGACGAUUUACAAAAAUUUGGGGCGAAAUAGUUGAUGUUCGUAAAACUCAAUGGUAAAUCGUCGCAAAUCGAGCCGUCUCUGUGAUCACAGCGGUUGAGCCGCCCUUCGCCGGGCGGUUCCCGUUAACCGGAGAAGGCGUUGUCACAUCCUAUCGCCUUGGGGAGCGGAGUCUCUGCAAUUACCUCUUGGGAUUGGCCGUGAGAAAGACAUUCACUAAUCGUUUGAAUUCCAUACUUGAAAUCGGCCUGUGAUGAAAUCUAUUUAAAAGAACACCAUCUUUCGGGACUGAAUGGUCUUUCUCGAGAUCUUGAUGUCAAUUCUGCAAUUCUGAGGCCAUUUUUCUGUGAUUUUUUUUUAAUUUAAAAUGUUGUAACAAAUGCGUACUGUAUUUGAAUUCGAAUGUGGAUUCAAGUACCAAUAAUCAUCAUUCAUCAAAUUCCUUUUGCUAUCAGAAUGAAGAAUUUUUUCAAACAAUAUGAACACUUUCCUGAAUUUCUGUCUUUCAUAAAAUGCAUCGAUGAAACUCUGAAUUCUCAAUUGAUAGCUUGUUUGUUACCGAUUAUUUACAAAAUGUUUGGGGCAAGUUAGUUUAUAUUAGAAUAGUAUGUCCUUUUGGGCUAUUAAAUGAUCCCAUGUUAAUAUUUUAGAGCACAAUGCACAAAAUCAAAUUUAUGCAUGAACAAAUCCGGUGUCGUUUUCCUCAAGCUUUCGUGAUUUCACCAUCAUAUUACAUGUAUAUCAAAGUGAAUGUUUCCAUAUCCAUUUUUGAUUAAAUGUUUAUUGCAUAAUAGCAUUGAAAAUGUAGACACUGUGUAGAAAAUGGACUUUUAGGUUAAAAAGCAUUCCCAAACGCCACUAAAAGCAAAUACUUUAUUUAAAACAAAGCCUAAAACAUAUUCAUGCUUUAAACAAAUACUUUUACUUUAAUGAAUCAGAAAUAUUAUGAAUUUAAGUAGGCAUGUUUACUUGUAUAUAUAACUAUUAACAUUUUAAUAAUAUUUUUAUUUGUUCACUUUGGGUUUAGCGGCCUUGAAGGUUGUAUCUUUGAAUAUAGUUGUAUUAUCUUUUUUAGAAUUUUGUAGCUUUGUUUGUGGUUAAUGGUGCCAUUAGAAAUUUGAAGUAUACUACCUAAACAACAUUAGGAGUUGGAUCAUUUUUUGUUAGAAUGUCUAAUAACCGUAGAUCACAAACAUCUCUUACCAUCUUUUUUGCCAUAAAAAAGGUUGUUUGUGAUUUGGAGUGGUUAGACAUGAAAGACGAUCAAUUCCAUGUUUGCUUGAUUUGAAGUCUAUAUAUAAUUUCUAAGACCAUCCAUAUGAAAUCAAUGAAUGAGUUUAAUGAGUUGAAAUGUCUAGUUAUAAUUUCUAAGACCAUCUUAUUGUGAUGUAAUUUUAUCGUAAUGAGAUUUUAUCUCGAUAGAUUUGGAGGUUAAUGGUCAUUGAGUUAUUUAAUGAAAAAAGGAAAAGUUUUUUAAUUUUAAAUAUUUAUUAUAAAUCAAUUUUUGUAUCUUUUUAUUGAAAUUUGUAGAGUUUAAUGCAUAAUAGGAUAAGAUGAUAGAGUUAUAUGGAGUGUAAAAAAAUUAUGUGAUAUUCCAUUAAGUUUUAUGGACUUCAAUGCAUUGUGGAUACCAUAAGACUUCAAAGCAAGUGUGAAAGUCUAUGUGGCAUCCCAAGGGAAGCUUCAAAUCAAGUGUGGAUAACUUGAUGCUUCAAAUCAAGUGUGAAAGUCUAUGUGGCAUCCCAAGGGACGUUGGAACCCCCAAGGGUCUAGUUUGGCAUCUCCAUGAGGACGAAUGAAAACACCUUAUAAGAAAUUAGCGGCAACAUCGAUCAUUCUUUUUUUUUUCUUUUUUCUUUCUACCUCUUCACCACCAAUCUACCGGCGAACAUCAUUUCUACUACCUAGUCGAUUAGUUGUGGAAUGGUAAAAAAUCUAUGUGACCGUAGGGUUGUGCCAUUUGCGACUUCGGCAUUUGAAUUGUGAAGAUACAAACAAGUAAAGUAGGGUUGUGCAUUGUGGGUUGUAUGUUCGCAGAUGGAAUUCAAUUUGUUACUAUUUUUUUGUACACAUAAAGAUAGUUCUUGUAGCCGACGAUUUACAAAAUAUUGGGGCGAAAUAGUUGAUAUUCGUAAAACUCAAUGGUAAAUCGUUGCAAAUCUAGCCGUCUUUGUGAUCACAGCGGUUGAGCCGCCCUUUGCCGGGCAGUCCCCGUUAACCGGAGAAGGCGUUGUCACAUCCUAUCGCCUUGGGGAGCGGAGUCUCUGCAAUUACCUCUUGGGAUUGGCCGUGAGAAAGACAUUCACCAAUCGUUUAAAUUCCAUACUUGAAAUCGGCCUGUGAUGAAAUCUAUUUAAAAGAACACCAUCUUUCGGGACUGAAUGGUCUUUCUCGAGAUCUUGAUGUCAAUUCUGCAAUUCUGAG
rnacentral:lncRNA from 1 species